rnacentral:lncRNA from 1 species
GUUUUUUUUGUUUUUUCGGUUUAGUUAUUUAGCGGAUGUUCGUCCGUUCGUUCAUUUUAAUGAAUGAUGUUCGGCGGUUAGGUUCAGACAGUGAACGUUCGUUAGUUAGCUUUCUCUUUUUAUUUUAUUUUUCGACCAGGGACCUAUCUGUGAUUAUUUUUAUCACAGAUUAGCCCCUAAACUUCAAACCCUCGCCCUUUCUAAAGCGUUUGUCCAAAUCCAGUGAAACCAAUGCCAAACUCUUCGUCUCGAGCCCCUCUUUAUGUUUAAUCCACUUGAACAAGGUUUUGACAAUUUAAAAUUUGGUUCCAAGCAGAUUUGAAUUCAAAGUUCUUUUGACCGUAGUUUCAGUUCCGUAGCUUUGAUUCGAUUGAUUAUUUUUGCACAUUGAAACUCUUUAGUUGAACUUUCAGGUUUGAUCUUCUUAUUUGAGUUUUACCCGUGCAUCUUUGCUUCAUUGCUUAUGUAUGCUAUUGUUUGUUUGCGAUAGAAUUCCCGGAGUGCGCAGCGUGCUACUACGAGUCUCUAGGUUUUGCGGAUCAUCAGCAAGGCAAGUAACACUUUGAUCAUACCCCUUUAUUACCCAGUUUUUAUGCAUUAGCUCAACCCUCAAACAUUGCAUGAGUAGGAUCCUUAACAUGUGGGUUUUGGGAAGUAGAUGUUGAGGUAGAACCUAUUGUCCUUUUUAUUAUCAAACCCUUGGGAGUUACUUCUACGUUAUGCUUAUAUUGCCAUGCUAUGCUUGUAGACGUGGGUCGGGUUUGAGUGAUCCAUGACAGAUGUGAGAUUGUUAAUUAAUGGUUAACUUAAGGUGGCUACUUAAAUACACAUCUGGGUGGAUUGGUUGCGGGCACCUGGAGAAUCCAGUGUUGUCCUAGGAUAUCCUGGAGUACCUGUGUGAUCAUCCUAUGGUUCGCCACCCAGGCUCAAAGGGAUCAUAAGAUUAUUCAUGCUAGAAACUUACGCAUGCAGCCACAAGCCAUUAUGGGCUCUAACAUAGUUGAGUAUGUUGCAUGACCACUUUCAGUGGUGGGCUAGCAAAUGUAGGGGAAAGUAGGUGUAACUGUCCACCCAGAGUAAAGAGUUAAUGCCUCUGAAAGACUGUGUCUCGGUCAUCCGUUUCUCAAACACCAUGAAGUGCGAGAAAUUCAACAGAGGAGAUCGAUUCUUGUGGGAAAAAAUGCGCAAACCUCUGCAGAGUGUACAAACUAAUCAUGGUUAGCCGUGUCCCCGAUUAUGGACAUCUUGAGUAUCUGGUUCUUGGAUUAUCAUGUUGAUCUCAUCACUCUAAAUUAAUUUGUUGGGUUGUAAAUACUACUUAAUUGGGAUUGAGUUGGAGGAACCUUCUCAAUGUUUAACAACUACCAUGAUAGUUAAACAAAUUAUAUUCCUUUGUUGUAGGGAAAAAUUGGCUUUUCGCAAAACACUAUAACCAUAGAGCCUCCACUAGCCAUAUAUGCAUGUAGUGAUAGCUUUUAUUCUGUUCAUUACCCUACUGUGUAUUGUGUUACAUUGCCAGCAUAUUCCAUGUGCUAACCCAUUUUCGGGCUACAACGUAUCAUGUUGCAGACUUUUCAGACGAAGAGUAAGGUGCGCUAGGUCGUUGUCAUGCACUCAGCUAUGCCGUUGGAGUUGAUGGACUCACUUUAUCUUCCAAGCCUUAUGUUGUUAUCGUAAUUAGAUGGCCUUAAGCCACAUUUAUUGUAAUAAGUUCUCUUUUGAGACAUUCGGUGUAAUAAGUGUGUGAUUGCAACUCUGUUGUAAAUCCUUCGAAGUAUUGUGUGUGUCAGCAUUACCAAUCCAGGGAUGACACUUAUACACAUAGAUCUGUCCUCCUGAGGUUGGAUCGCUACAGAUCUCGUAUUUUAACUGAGACAACGGGCAUGCCAGCAACAGGUCUAUGUUUAUCCUUUUUAUCAGGUUUGGCAAUUCUAACAGCUUCUUCAUAGAAGUAAAUAACAUGCCCAUCUUCAUCUUCUUCCAAGAGAUCUUUAACCAUAGCAAUGAAGGAAAUAUGCCCUAGAGGCAAUAAUAAAGUUAUUAUUUAUUUCCUUAUAUCAUGAUAAAUGUUUAUUAUUCAUGCUAGAAUUGUAUUAACCGGAAACAUAAUACAUGUGUGAAUACAUAGACAAACAGAGUGUCACUAGUAUGCCUCUACUUGACUAGCUCGUUAAUCAAAGAUGGUUAUGUUUCCUAACCAUGAACAAUGAGUUGUUAUUUGAUUAACGAGAUCACAUCAUUAGUUGAAUGAUCUGAUUGACAUGACCCAUUCCAUUAGCUUAGCACCCGAUCGUUUAGUAUGUUGCUAUUGCUUUCUUCAUGACUUAUACAUGUUCCUAUGACUAUGAGAUUAUGCAACUCCCGUUUGCCAGAGGAACACUUUGGGUGCUACCAAACGUCACAACGUAACUGGGUGAUUAUAAAGGAGUACUACAGGUGUCUCCAAAGGUACAUGUUGGGUUGGCGUAUUUCGAGAUUAGGAUUUGUCACUCCGAUUGUCGGAGAGGUAUCUCUGGGCCCUCUCGGUAAUGCACAUCACUUAAGCCUUGCAAGCAUUGCAACUAAAUGAGUUAGUUGCGGGAUGAUGUAUUACAGAACGAGUAAAGAGACUUGCCGGUAAUGAGAUUGAGCUAGGUAUUGGAUACCAACGAUCGAAUCUCGGGCAAGUAACAUACCGAUGACAAAGGGAACAACGUAUGUUGUUAUGCGGUCUGACCGAUAAAGAUCUUCAUAGAAUAUGUAGGAGCCAAUAUGGGCAUCCAGGUCCCGCUAUUGGUUAUUGACCGGAGACGUGUCUCGGUCAUGUCUACAUUGUUCUCGAACCCGUAGGGUCCGCACGCUUAAGGUUACGAUGACAGUUAUAUUAUGAGUUUAUGCAUUUUGAUGUACCGAAGGUUGUUCGGAGUCCCGGAUGUGAGCAUGGACAUGAUGAGGAGUCUCCAAAUGGCCGAGACAUAAAGAUUGAUAUAUUGGAAGCCUAUAUUUGGACAUCGGAAGUGUUCCGGGUGAAAUCGGGAUUUUACCGGAGUACCGGGAGGUUACCGGAACCCCCCGGGAACCAUAUGGGCCUUGAUGGGCCUUAGUGGAAAGGAGAAAGGGGCAGCCCAAGGUGGCCGCGCGCCUCCCCCCUUCCCCUAGUCCUAUUAGGACUAGGAGAGGUGGCCGGCCCCCUCUCGCUCUUUCCCCCCCAAGGAGUCCUAUUCCAACUAGGAUUGGGGGGGGGGGGAAUCCUACUCCCAGAGGGAGUAGGACUCUCCUGGCGCGCCUCCUAUGGCCGGCCAGCCUCCCCCCUCUAGUCCUUUAUAUACUGAGGCAGAGGCACCCCCGAAACACACAAGUUGAUCCACGUGAUCUAUUCCUUAGCCGUGUGCGGUGCCCCCUGCCACCAUAUUCCUCGAUAAUACUGUAGCGGAGUUUAGGCGAAGCCCUGCUGUUGUAGUACAUCAAGAUCGUCACCACGCCGUCGUGCUGACGGAACUCUUCCCCGACACUUUGCUGGAUCGGAGUCCGGGGAUCGUCAUCGAGCUGAACGUGUGCUCGAACUCGGAGGUGCCGUAGUUUCGGUGCUUGAUCGGUUGGAUCGUGAAGACGUACGACUACUUCCUCUACGUUGUGUUAACACUUCCGCAGUCGGUCUGCGUGGGUACGUAGACAACACUCUCCCCUCUCAUUGCUAUGCAUCACAUGAUCUUGCGUGUGCGUAGGAAUUUUUUUGAAAUUACUAUGAAACCCAACAGUGGCAUCCGAGCCUAGGUUAUUUAUGUUGAUGUUAUAUGCACGAGUAGAACACAAGUGAGUUGUGGGCGAUAUAAGUCAUACUGCCUACCAGCAUGUCAUAUUUUGGUUCGGCGGUAUUGUUGGAUGAAGCGGCUCAGACCGACAUUACGCGUACGCUUACGCGAGACCGGUUCUCCCGACGUGCUUUGCACAUAGGUGGCUUGUGGGUGACAGUUUCUCCAACUUUAGUUGAACCAAGUAUGGCUACGCCCGGUCCUUGCGAAGGUUAAAACAGAGUCAAAUUGACAAACUAUCAUUGUGGUUUUGAUGCGUAGGUAAGAUUGGUUCUUGCUUAAGCCCGUAGCAGCCACGUAAAACUUGCAACAACAAAGUAGAGGACGUCUAACUUGUUUUUGCAGGGCAUGUUGUGAUGUGAUAUGGUCAAGACGUGAUGAGAUAUAAGUUGUUGUAUGAGAUGAUCAUGUUUUGUUGAAGUUAUCGGCAACUGGCAAAAUCCUUAUGGUUGUCUCUCUAUUGCAUAAGAUGCAAGCGCCCAAUAACUGCUUUACUUUAUCGCUAUGCGAUAGCAAUAGUUGCAAGAGCAAUAGUUGGCGAGACGACCGUGUGACGACACAUUGAUAUAGAUCAAGAUGAUGGAGAUCAUGGUGUCAUGCCAGUGAUGAUAGAGAUCAUGACAGUACUUUGGAGAUGGAGAUCAAAGGUGCAAGAUGAUGAUGGCCAUAUCAUGUCACAUAUUUUGAUUGCAUAUGAUGUUUAUCUUUUAUACAUCUUAUUUUGCUUAGUUUGACGAUAGCAUUUUAAGAUGAUCUCUCAAUAAUUAUCAAGAAGUGUUAUCCCUGAGUAUGCACCGUUGCGAAAGUUCUUCGUGCUGAGACACCAUGUGAUGAUCGGGUGUGAUAGGCUCUACGUUCAAAUACAACGGGUGCAAAACAGUUGCACACGCGGAAUACUCAGGUUAUACUUGACGAGCCAAGCAUAUACAGAUAUGGCCUCGGAACGCAGAGACCGAAAGGUUGAGCGUGAAUCAUAUAGUAGAUAUGAUCAACAUAGUGAUGUUCACCAAUGAAACUACUCCAUCUCACGUGAUGAUCGGACAUGGUUUAGUUGAUUUGGAUCACGUGAUCACUUAGAGGAUUAGAGGGAUGUCUAUCUAAGUGGGAGUUCUUAAGUAAUAUGAUUAAAUUGAACUUAAAUUUAUCAUGAACUUAGUCCUGGUAGUAUUUUGCAAAUCAUGUUGUAGAUCAAUAGCUCGCAUUGUUGCUUCCCUGUGUUUAUUUUGAUAUGUUCCUAGAGAAAAUUGUGUUGAAAGAUCUUAGUAGCAAAGAUGCGGAUUGGAUCCGUGAUCUGAGGUUUAUCCUCAUUGCUGCACAGAAGAAUUAUGUCCUUGAUGCACCGCUAGGUGACGGACCUAUUGCAGGAGAAGAUGUAGACAUUAUGAACGUUUGGCUAGCUCAAUAUGAUGACUACUUGAUAGUUUAGUGCACCAUGCUUAAUGGCUUAGAAUCGGGACUUCAAAGACGUUUUGAAAGUCAUGGAGCAUAUGAGAUGUUCCAGGAGUUGAAGUUAAUAUUUCAUGCAAAUACCCGAGUUGAGAGAUAUGAAGUCUCCAACAAGUUCUAUAGCUGAAAGAUGGAUGAGAAUCGAUCAACUAGUGAGCAUGUGCUCAGAUUGUCUGAGUACUACAAUCGCUUGAAUCAAGUGGGAGUUAAUCUUCCAGAUAAGAUAGUGAUUGACAGAAUUCUCUAGUCACCAUCACCAAGUUAGUAGAACUUCGUGAUGAACUAUGAUAUGCAAGGGAUAACGGAAACGAUUCCCAAGCUCUUCGUAAUGCGGAAAUUGACGAAGGUAGAAAUCGAAAAAAAACAUCAAGUGUUGAUGAUAGACAAGACCACUAGUUUCAAGAAAAGGGCAGAGGGAAGAAUGGGAACUUCAAGAAGAACAGCAAGCAAGUUGCUGCUCAAGUGAAGAAGCCCAAGUCUGGUCCUAAGCCUGAUACUAAGUGUUUCUACUGCAAAGGGACUGGUCACUGGAAGCAGAACUACCCCAAGUGAUUGGCAGAUAAGAAGGAUGGCAAAGUGAACAUAAAUAUAUUUGAUAUACAUGUUAUUGAUGUGUACUUUACUAGUGUUUAUAGCAACCCCUCAGUAUUUGAUACUAGUUCAGUUGCUAAGAUUAGUAACUCGAAAUGGGAGUUGCAGAAUAAACAGAGACUAGUUAAGGGUGAAGUGACGAUGUGUGUUGGAAGUGGUUCCAAGAUUGAUAUGAUCAUCAUCGCACACUCCCUAUACUUUCGGGAUUAGUGUUGAACCUGAAUAAGUGUUAUUUGGUGUUUGCAUUAAGCAUGAAUAUGAUUUGAUCAUGUUUAUUGUAAUACGGUUAUUCAUUUAAGUAAGAGAAUAAAUUGUUGUUCUGUUUACAUGAAUAAAACCUUAUAUGGUUACACACCCAAUGAAAAUAGUUCGUUGGAUCUCGAUCGUAGUGAUACACAUAAUCAUAAUAUUGAAACCAAAAGAUGCAAAGUUAAUAAUGAUAGUGCAACUUAUUUGUAGCACUGCCGUUUAGGUCAUAUUGGUGUAAAGCGCAUGAAGAAACUCCAUGCUGAUGGGAUUUUGGAAUCACUUGAUUAUGAAUCACUUGAUGCUUGCGAACCAUGCCUCAUGGGCAAGAUGACUAAGACUCCGUUCUCCGGAGCGAGCAACUGACUUAUUGGAAAUAAUACAAACUGAUGUAUGCGGUCCGAUGAGUGUUAAGGCUCGCGGAAAGUAUCGUUAUUUUCUAAACUUCACAGAUGAUUUGAGCAGAUAUGGGUAUAUCUACUUGAUGAAACAUAAGUCCGAAACAUUUGAAAAGUUCAAAGAAUUUCAGAGUGAAGUGGAAAAUCAUCAUGACAAGAAAAUAAAGUUUCUAUGAUCUGAUCGCGGAGACAAAUAUUUGAGUUACGAGUUUGAUCUUCAAUUAAAACAAUGUGGAAUAGUUUCACAAACUCAUGCCACAUGGAACACCACAGCAUAAUGGUGUGUCCGAACGUCAUAACCGUACUUUAUUGGAUAUAGUGCAAUCUAUGAUGUCUCUUACCGAUCUACCACUAUCGUUUUGGGGUUAUGCAUUAGAGACAGCUGCAUUCACGUUAAAUAGGGCACCAUCUAAAUCUGUUGAGACGACACCGUGUGAACUAUGGUUUGGCAAGAAACCUAAGCUGUCGUUUCUUAAAGUUUGGGACUGUGAUGCUUAUGUGAAAAAAGUUUCAACAUGAUAAGCUCAAACCCAAACCGGAGGAGUAAAUCUUCAUAGGAUAUUCAAAGGAAACUAUUGGAUACACCUUCUAUCACAGAUCCGAAGGCAAGACUUUUGUUGCUAAAUUCGGAGUUUUUCUAGAGGAGUUUCCCUCGAAAGAAGUGAGUGGGAGGAAAGUAGAACUUGAUGAGGUAACUGUACCUGCUCCCUUAUUGGAAAGUAGUUCAUCACAGAAAUCUGUUCCUGUGACUACUAUACCAAUUAGUGGGGAAGCUAAUGAUGAUGAUCAUGUAACUUCAGAUCAAGUUACUACCAAAUCUCGUAGGUAAACCAGAGUGAGAUCCGCACCAGAGUGAUACGGUAAUCCUGUUCUGGAAGUCAUGUUACUAGACCAUGACGAACUUGCGAACUAUGAGGAAGCGAUGAUGAGCCCAGAUUCCACGAAAUGGUUUGAGGCCAUGAAAUCUGAGAUAUGAUCCAUGUAUGAGAACAAAGUAUGGACUUUGAUGGAUUUGCCCGAUGAUCGGCAAGCCAUAGAAAAUAAAUGGAUCUUCAAGAGGAAGACGGACGCUGAUAGUAGUGUUACUAUCUACAAAGCUAGAAUUGUCGCAAAAGGUUUUCGACAAGUUCAAGGUGUUGACUACGAUGAGAUUUUCUCACUCGUAUCUAUGCUUAAGUCUGUCCGAAUCAUGUUAGCAAUUGCCGUAUUUUAUGAAAUCUGGCAAAUGGAUAAACAAAACUGCAUUCCUUAAUGGAUUUACUAAAGAAGAGUUGUAUACGAUGCAACUAGAAGGUUUUGUCGAUCCUAAAGGUGUUAACUAAAUAAGCAAGCUCCAGCGAUCCAUCUAUGGACUGGUGCAAGAAUCUCGGAGUUGGAAUAUACGCUUUGAUAAGUUGAUCAAAGCAUAUAGUUUUAUACAGACUUGCGAUGAAGCCUGUAUUUACAAGAAAGUGAGUGGGAGCACUACAACAUUUCUGAUAAGUAUAUGUGUAUGACAUAUUGUUGGUCGGAAAUAAUGUAGAAUUAUUCUGCAAAGCAUAAAGGAGUGUUUGAAAGGAGUUUUUCAAUGAAAGACCUCGGUAAAGCUGCUUACAUAUUGAGUAUCAAGAUCUAUAGAGAUAGAUCAAGACGCUUGAUAAGUUUUUCAAUGAGUACAUACCUUGACAAGAUUUUGAAGUAGUUCAAAAUGGAACAGUCAAAGAAAAAGUUUCUUGCCUGUGUUACAAGGUGUGAAGUUGAGUAAGACUCAAAGCCCGACCACGGCAGAAGAUAGAAAGAGAAUGAAAGUCAUUCCCUAUGCCUCAGCCAUAGGUUCUAUAAAGUAUGCCAUGCUGUGUACCAGAUCUAUUGUAUACCCUACACUGUGUUAAGCAAGGGAGUACAAUAGUGAUCUAAGAGUAGAUCACUGGACAGCGGUCAAAAUUACCCUUAGUGGAAUAAGGAAAUAUUUCUCAAUUAUGGAGGUGACAAAAAGGUUCGUCGUAAAAAGUUACGUCGAUGCAAGAUUUGACACAGAUCUGGAUGACUCUAAGUCUCGAUCUAGAUACAUAUUGAAAGUGGGAGCAAUAAGCUAGAGUAGCUCCGUGCAGAGCAUUGUUGACAUAGAAAUUCGCAAAAUACUUACGGAUCUGAAUGUGACAGACCCGUUGACUAAAAUUAUCUCACAAGCAAAACAUGAUCACACCUUAGUACUCUUUGGAUGUUAAUCACAUAGCGAUGUGAACUAGAUUAUUGACUCUAGUAAACCCUUUGGGUGUUUACCACAUAUCGAUGUGAACUAUGGGUGUUAAUCACAUGGUGAUGUGAACUAUUGCUGCUAAAUCACAUGGCGAUGUAAACUAGAUUAUUGACUCUAGUGCAAGUGGGAGACUAAAGGAAAUAUGCCCUAGAGGCAAUAAUAAAGUUAUUAUUUAUUUCCUUAUAUCAUGAUAAAUGUUUAUUAUUCAUGCUAGAAUUGUAUUAACCGGAAACAUAAUACAUGUGUGAAUACAUAGACAAACAGAGUGUCACUAGUAUGCCUCUACUUGACUAGCUCGUUAAUCAAAGAUGGUUAUGUUUCGUAACCAUGAACAAUGAGUUGUUAUUUGAUUAACGAGAUCACAUCAUUAGUUGAAUGAUCUGAUUGACAUGACCCAUUCCAUUAGCUUAGCACCCGAUCGUUUAGUAUGUUGCUAUUGCUUUCUUCAUGACUUAUACAUGUUCCUAUGACUAUGAGAUUAUGCAACUCCCGUUUGCCGGAGGAACACUUUGGGUGCUACCAAAUGUCACAACGUAACUGGGUGAUUAUAAAGGAGUACUACAGGUGUCUCCAAAGGUACAUGUUGGGUUGGCGUAUUUCGAGAUUAGGAUUUGUCACUCCGAUUGUCGGAGAGGUAUCUCUGGGCCCUCUCGGUAAUGCACAUCACUUAAGCCUUGCAAGCAUUGCAACUAACUGAGUUAGUUGCAGGAUGAUGUAUUACAGAACGAGUAAAGAGACUUGCCGGUAACGAGAUUGAGCUAGGUAUUGGAUACCGACGAUCGAAUCUCGGGCAAGUAACAUACCGAUGACAAAGGGAACAACAUAUGUUGUUAUGCGGUCUGACCGAUAAAGAUCUUCAUAGAAUAUGUAGGAGCCAAUAUGGGCAUCCAGGUCCCGCUAUUGGUUAUUGACCAGAGACAUGUCUCGGUCAUGUCUACAUUGUUCUCGAACCCGUAGGGUCCGCACGCUUAAGGUUACGAUGACAGUUAUAUUAUGAGUUUAUCCAUUUUGAUGUACCGAAGGUUGUUCGGAGUCCCGGAUGUGAGCACGGACAUGACGAGGAGUCUUGAAAUGGUCGAGACAUAAAGAUUGAUAUAUUGGAAGCCUAUAUUUGGACAUCAGAAGUGUUCCGGGUGAAAUCGGGAUUUUACCGGAGUACCGGGAGGUUACCGGAACCCCUUGGGAACCAUAUGGGCCUUGAUGGGCCUUAGUGGAAAGGAGAAAGGGGCAGCCCAAGGUGGCCGCGCACCUCCCCCCUUCCCCUAGUCCUAUUAGGACUAGGAUAGGUGGCCGGCCCCCUCUCUCUCUUUCCCCCCAAGNNNNNNNNNNNNNNNNNNNNNNNNNNNNNNNNNNNNNNNNNNNNNNNNNNNNNNNNNNNNNNNNNNNNNNNNNNNNNNNNNNNNNNNNNNNNNNNNNNNNNNNNNNNNNNNNNNNNNNNNNNNNNNNNNNNNNNNNNNNNNNNNNNNNNNNNNNNNNNNNNNNNNNNNNNNNNNNNNNNNNNNNNNNNNNNNNNNNNNNNNNNNNNNNNNNNNNNNNNNNNNNNNNNNNNNNNNNNNNNNNNNNNNNNNNNNNNNNNNNNNNNNNNNNNNNNNNNNNAAUCCUACUCCCAGAGGGAGUAGGACUCUCCUGGCGCGCCUCCUAUGGCCAGCCAGCCUCCCCCCUCUAGUCCUUUAUAUACUGAGGCAGAGGCACCCCAGAAACACACAAGUUGAUCCACGUGAUCUAUUCCUUAGCCGUGUGCGGUGCCCCCUGCCACCAUAUUCCUCGAUAAUACUGUAGCGGAGUUUAGGCGAAGCCCUGCUGUUGUAGUACAUCAAGAUCGUCACCACGCCGUCGUGCUGACGGAACUCUUCCCCGACACUUUGCUGGAUCGGAGUCCGGGGAUCGUCAUCGAGCUGAACGUGUGCUCGAACUCGGAGGUGCCGUAGUUUCGGUGCUUGAUCGGUUGGAUCAUGAAGACGUACGACUACUUCCUCUACGUUGUGUUAACGCUUCCGCAGUCGGUCUGCGUGGGUACGUAGACAACACUCUCCCCUCUCGUUGCUAUGCAUCACAUGAUCUUGCGUGUGCGUAGGAAUUUUUUUGAAAUUACUAUGAAACCCAACAAGCAAUACUAGGUUCCACUUUAAUUUGUUCACCGGGUUUCGGUGUUCUAAUAUAGCUUUUGUUAACCACAGUUGAAACUUUAGCAUGUUCCUUUAUCUUAACAGGGAAAGGUGGUUUCUCAAUAUAAGCAGAAAGAACAACUGGAUCAACAUUGUAGAGUAUAGUUUCUUCUUUAACUGGUAACGGUCCUUUGAUUUCUUCUUUAAUAGGUGGGUCAUAUUUAAAACACUUCUCUUUAGGGAGAUGAACAUGAGUAGUAAAUGAUUCACAAAAGGAGGCUACUAUCUCAGAGUCAAGUCCAUAUUUAGUGCUAAUCUUUUGAAAAGCAUCAGUAUCUAUAAAAGAUUUAACACAAUCAUACUUCGAUAAGUAAGAGUGUCGAACCCAAUGAGGAGCAGAAGGAAAUGACAAGUGAUUUUCAGCAAGGUAAUGUCUGCAAGUGCUGAAAUUGAAAGUAGCAGAGUAGUUUGAUAGGAAAGUAAUUUGUAAUGAGCAAGUAACGCUAGUAGUAACAAAAGUGCAGCAAGGUAGCCCAAUCCUUUUGAGGCAAAGGAUAGGCCAAAACGGUUUCUUGUAGUAAGCAAAGCGUUCUUGAGGGUACACAGGAUUUUCAUCUAGUCACUUUCACCAUGUUGGUUCGAUCUGUGUUUGCUACUUUGAUAAUUUGAUAUGUGGGUGGAAUGGUGCUUAGGUGUUGUUCACACUUGAACAAACCUCCUACUUAUGAUUAACCCUCCCGCAAGCAUCCGCAACUAGGAGAAAAAGUAUUAAGAAUAAAUUCUAACCAUAACAUUAAACUUUUGGAUCCAAUCGGUCCCUUACGAAAUAGUGCAUAAACUGGGGUUUAAGCUUCUGUCACUCUCGCAACCCAUCAUCUAAUUGCUACUCCACAAUGCAUUCCCUUAGGCCCAAGUAUGGUGAAGUGUCAUGUAGUCGACAUUCACAUGACACCACUAAGGGAAUCACAACAUACAUACUAUCAAAAUAUCGAACACAUAUCAAGUUCACAUGAUUACUUGCAACAUGAUUUCUCCCGCGACCUCAAGAACAAAAGUAACUACUCACAAACGAUAAUCAUGCUCAAGAUCAGAGGGGUAUUAAAUAGCAUAUUGGAUCUGAACAUAUAAUCUUCCACCAAAUAAACCAUAUAGUAAUCAACUACAAGAUGUAAUCAACACUACUAGUCACCCACAAGCACCAAUCUAUAGUUCCGGUAACAAGAUUGAACACAAGAGAUGAACUAGGGUUUGAGAUGAGAUGGUGAUGUUGAAGAUGUUGAUGGAGAUUGCCCUCCCCAAGAUGGGAAAGUUGUUGGUGAUGAUGAUGACGAUGAUUUCCUCCUCCGGGAGGGAAGUUCCCCCGGCGGAAUCGCUCCGCCAGAGGGCAAAAAUGCUCCUGCCCAAGUUCCACCUCGAGACGAUGGCGCUCCAUCCUGAAAGUCCCCUCCUUAUUUUUUCUUGGUAAAAAUGACUUAUAUACCAGAAUAUGGGCAUCAGAGGUGGGCCUGGGUGAGCACAACCCACCAGGACGCGCUUGGGCUCCCUGGCGUGCCCAGGUGGGUUGUGCCCACCUAGUGGGCCCCCUCUGGUAGUUAUUUGUUCCAAUAUUCAUCAUAUAAUUGAUAAAAAUCUCCGUGAAGUUUCAGCUUGUUUGGAGUUGUGCAGAAUAGGUGGCCUGACGUAGCUUUUCCAGGUCCAGAUUUCCAGCUGCUGGAAUUCUCCCUCUGUGUGUAUACCUUGCAUAUUAUGAGAGAAAAGGCAUUGGAAUUACUCCAAAAAUCAUUAUUAUGGAUAAAAACAUCAUAAAUAACAGUAAGAAAACAUGAUGCAAAAUGGACGUAUCAUGGAGGCCUCGUGGCUCUUCUGGCCCAACUCUUUUGCUUCAGGGGUUUCUUCUGGUCCAAAAACAACCGUCAUGAAGUUUCGGGUCAAUUGGACUUCGUUUGAUAUUCUUUUCCUAUGAAACUCAAAAACAAGGACAAACAAAAACUCGCACUGGGCUCUAGGUUAAUAGGUUAGUCCCAAAAAUCAUAUAAAAUAGCAUAUAAAAGCAUAUAAAACAUCCAAGAUAUAUAAUAUAAUAGCAUUGAACAAUCAAAAAUUAUAGAUACGUUGGAGACGUAUCAACACUUAGUGUAACCUGAAUCAGACCGAGUCGCUUCCGCGCCGCCCCCUCCGCCGCCGUUGUGCCGCCUCUGCCGCCGUCGUGCCACCUCCGUCGCCGUUGUGCCGCCUCCGCCGCAUCUACCCUCUCUCCCCAUCUAGGAUUAGGAAGCAAUGUCGGGGGGGCACCCCGUCUGGCCCAUCGACCGUGGAGAUGAUUGGGUCAAAUCAGAGGCGGAUAAUUCAUGAAUUCCACCUGGGUAAGCAUCAUUUUCCUCUCAAAUUGAUUAGGAGAUCCCUAAAUUAGGUUGUAUUUGACCACCGUUGGCGUGAAUCAGUGCAAUUUAUCUGAAAUUUUUUGGCCUAACUGCGCCCUUUAUCUUAUUUCAAUCGAAUAGGGUUGAUCAUGCACUUGCUUUUCGGCUGGCGGUUAGAAUAGAAACUAGCAAGCCGCAUGGAACUAAAUCGUGUCUGAUUUCUUGAUUUUAUAUCCUAAAGUGGUAGAAACUAGCGUUUCGUUCACAGAUUUCUGCGAGGCACUCUGUUGUGAGUAUCCGUGGAGCCCUCCCGAUGCUGUUGAACUAAGAUAUUUCGACAGUACCGGGCAAAGAUUUGUCCCAUUAACUUAUGAUGAGCAUCUGGUAUUGCUAUUUAGUUUGAAUGCUGACAACCAUUUCGGUAAAAUCCAUAUCGGUGUGAUUCAGGCACACAAACAAUGUAUCCCGAAGGGGAAGGGUAUUCAAACAUCAUCUGUCUCUGCUGAUAGUGAGUGUCCUCGCACUCCUUGUAGGUCGAGACCAAGUAAACCUAGUGGUUCUGAAAGCCACAACAGGUCGGCUGCCGCUAAUUCUGCCACUUCUCCUCUCCCUUCUGCACCCGAUGUAGAAGUAGAUGCAGAGCCUGACGAGGAAGUGCCUCGACAUGAUGAUGAGGAUGAGAUUCUAUUCCCUGAACUGGUAGAUAGAGUCAGUCAACGGGCAGUGGAAGAUGAAUAUCCAGAGGAGCCUAGCAGCUGUGCUAGAUUUGAUGACACUGACGAUGAAGAGAGGGAGGAGAACAUCGACUCCUUAGUUUUACAAGAAUAUGAUGGUGAGGACAUGCCAACAAUUGAGUGGAAUAGGGAGAAUCCUGAGCUUACUCCAGGAACCGUAUUCAAAUCGAUGGUGGACUGUCGUAAUGUAGUGACUAUAUAUUGCAUUCUCACUGAAAACUCUUAUGAGGUUGAUAGGAGUGAGUCAGGAAGAUUCACUGUUCAUUGCCCUUAUGAUAGGUGUAGGUGGAGGUUGCAUGCAUCCACUAUGCUAAAGAGCAAAUUGAUUCGGGUAUUAUAACUGAAUCUUCUUAUCAGAUUAUUUAUCCAUUCUAUAUUCAGAUCAUGUGUACUAUUUCUUAAUUGUAUUUGACAUCAUUUUUCAUUUUGUUUUAGAUAAAAAGCAACCCACACGGGCACACUUGCCCACCUGGAGAGGGAGGGGAAAGGACAAAUCAAAGCUUGCAAAGACUAGGUGGGUGGCAGAUGCAAUCUUGGAUUGGGUGAGGGAAACACCAACAAUUGGUCCAACAACACUCCAUGGAAGCUAUUUGAGAAGUACAAGAUUAAUAUACCUUACAUGAGGAUUUUCUAUGCUAAGAAAAGGGCUCUUGAUAGGAUUAAUGGUCCAUGGAAUGAGAGUUUUCAAUUGCUUUACACCUUCAAAGCUGAAGUGGAGACGGCUAGUCCAGGGAGUGUUGUAGAGAUUGACAAGCAUACAGUUAAGUACAAAUUAAAAGGGAAGGCACUGGACAAGGAGUGCUUCAGGAGGGCUUUUGUUUGUUUUAAGGCUUGCUGGCAGGGGUUUCUGAAUGUUUGUAGGCCCUAUUUGGCUAUCGAUGCAGCUGCUUUGAAUGGAAGAUGGAGAGGCCAGCUAGCAGCAGCUUCUGCAGUUGAUGGACACAACUGGCUAUUUCCAGUUGCAUUUUGUGUGUUGGAAGUAGAGUCCGAGGAGAGUUGGGUCUGGUUUCUGCAGCAGGUACGCAAUAUUAUAGGUACACCCUCAGGUUUAUAUGAGGGAGAGGCAUAAGCUAACAUACUUUCUCUACUUGGAUCAUAUGCGCUUAUGAUUGGAACUCUAGCAAGCAUCCGCAACUACUAAAGAUCAUUAAGGUAAAACCCAACCAUAGCAUUAAAGUAUCAAGUCCUCUUUAUCCCAUAUGCAACAACCCCCUUACUCGGGUUUGUGUUUCAGUCACUCACGCAACUCACUAUAAGCGAAUCAUGAACGUAUUGCAACACCCUACAGCGGGAAUCCCUCACACUUGCGCAACACGGAGAGCACCAUAGGACAGCACCAAUAAUAAAACAUGCAACUCAAACCAAUCUUGAUCAUCAAAUAGCCCAUAGGACAAAACGGAUCUACUCAAACAUCAUAGGAUAGCCAUACAUCAUUGGGAAAUAAUAUAUAGCGUUGAGCACCAUGUUUAAGUAGAGAUUACAGCGGGUAAGAGAGAGGUUACACCGCUGCAUAGAGGGGGAAGAGUUGGUGAUGAUGGCGGUGAAGUUGUUGGUGAAGAUUGUGGUGAUGAUGAUGGCCCCCGGUGGCACUCCGGUGCCACCGGAAGCGAGGGGGAGAGAGCCCCCUCCUUCUUCUUCUUCCUUGACCUCCUCCCUAGAUGGGAGAAGGGUUUCCCCUCUGUUCCAUGGUCUCCAUGGCACGGGAGGGGCGAGAGCCCCUCCGAGAUUGGAUCUGUUUCUCUGUCUCUCUCUGUUUCUGCGUUCCUAGAUUCUACCCUUUCACCGUUUCUUAUAUUCCCGGAGAUCCGUAACUCCGAUUGGGCUGAAAUUUUAACACAAUCUCUAUCCGGAUAUUAGCUUUCUUGUGGUGAAAGAACGGCACCAACCGCCUUACGGUGUGGCCACGAGGGUCAGGGGCACGCCCCCUGCCUCGUGGGCCCCUCGAGCAUCGUCUCACGUGGAUUUUUCUUCCCAAAAAUCAUAUAUAUUCCAAAAAAAUCUCCGUUAGUUUUUAUUCUGUUUGGACUCCGUUUGAUAUGCAUAUUCUGCGAAACAAAAGACAUGCAACAAAAAGGAAGUGGCACUGGGCACUGGAUCAAUAUGUUAGUCCCAAAAAUAGUAUAAAAAGUUGCCAAAAGUAUAUGAAAGUUGUAGAAUAUUGACAUGGAACAAUAAAAAAUUGUAGAUACGACGGAGACGUAUCAGCAUCCCCAAGCUUAAUUCCUGCUCUUCCUCGAGUAGGUAAAUGAUAAAAAAAUAAUUUUUGAUGUGGAAUGCUACCUGGCAUAAUCUUGAUCACAUAUCUAAUCAUGGCGUGAAUAUUAAGAUAUGAGUGAUUCAAAGCAAUAGUCUAUCAUUUGACAUAAAAACAAUAAUACUUCGAGCCUACUAAUAAAGCAAUCAUGUCUUUUCAAAAUAACAUGGCCAAAGAAAGCUAUCCCUACAAAAUCAUAUAGUCUGGCUAUGCUCCAUCUUCACCACACAAAAUAUUCACAUCAUGCACAACCCCGAUGACAAGCCAAACAGUUGUUUCAUACUUUUGACGUUCUCAAACCUUUUCAACUUUCACGCAAUACAUGAGUGUGAGCCAUGGACAUAGCACUAUAGGUGGAAUAGAAUGGUGGUUGUGGAUAAGACAAAAAGGAGAAGAUAGUCUCACAUCAACUAGGCGUAUCAACGGGCUAUGGAGAUUCCCAUCAAUAGAUAUCAAUGUGAGUGAGUAGGGAUUGCCAUGCAACGGAUGCACUAGAGCUAUAAGUGUAUGAAAGCUCAGACUGAAAACUAAAGUGGGUGUGCAUCCAACUUGCUUGCUCAUGAAGACCUCGGACAUUUGAGGAAGCCCAUCAUCGGAAUAUACAAGCCAAGUUCUAUAAUGAAAAUUCCCGCUAGUAUAUGAAAGUGAUAACUCAAGAGACUCUCUAUAUGAAGAACAUGGUGCUACUUUGAAGCACAAGUGUGGUAAAAGGAUAGUAACAUUGCCCCUUCUCUCUUUUUCUCUCAUUUUUUAUUUUUUAUUUUUUUGGGCCUUCUCUUUUUUUGGACUUUCUCUUUUUUUCGUCCGGAGUCUCAUCCCGACUUGUGGGGGAAUCAUAGUCUCCAUCAUCCUUUCCUCACUGGGGCAAUGCUCUAAUAAUGAUGAUCAUCACACUUUUAUUUACUUACAACUCGAUACUAGAACAAAGAUAUGACUCUAUAUGAAUGCCUCCGGCGGUGUACCGGGAUGUGCAAUGAUCUAGCGUAGCAAUGACAUCAAAAAAUGGACAAGCCAUGAAAACAUCACGCUAGCUAUCUUACAAUCAUGCAAAGCAAUAUGACAAUGAAUGCUCAAGUCAUGUAUAUGAUGAUGAUGGAAGUUGCAUGGCAAUAUAUCUCAGAAUGGCUAUGAAAAUGCCAUGAUAGGUAGGUAUGGUGGCUGUUUUGAGGAAGGUAUAUGGUGGGUGUAUGGUACCGGCGAAAGUUGUGUGGUACUAGAGAGGCUAGCAAUGGUGGAAGGGCAAGAGUGCGUAUAAUCCAUGGACUCAACAUUAGUCAUAAAGAACUCACAUACUUAUUGCGAAAGUCUAUUAGCUAUCGAAACAAAGUAAUACACGCAUGCUCCUAGGAUGAUAGAUUGGUAGGAAAAGACCAUCGCUCGUCCCCGACCGCCACUCAUAAGGAAGACAAUCAAUAAAUACCUCAUGCUCCGACUUCGUUACAUAACGGUUCACCAUACGUGCAUGCUACGGGAAUCACAAACCUCAACACAAGUAUUUCUACUAAUCCACAACUACCCACUAGCAUGACUCUAAUAUCACCAUCUUUAUAUCACAAAACUAUUGCAAGGAAUCAAACAUAUCAUAUUCAGUGAUCUACAAGUUUUAUGUAGGAUUUUAUGACUAACCAUGUGAAUGACCAAUUCCUGUCAUCUCUCUAAAUAGAUAUAAGUGAAGCAAGAGAGUUUAAUUCUUUCUACAAAAGAUAUGCCCAUGCUCUAACAAAUAUAAGUGAAGCAAAAGAGCAUUCUACAAAUGGUGGUUUUCUAUGUAAAGAGAAACAGGCAAUCCAAACUUCAAAUGAUAUAAGUGAAGCACAUGAAGCAUUCUAUAAGGCCAUACUCAAAAGAUAUAAGUGAAGUGCAUAGAGCAUUCUAUAAAUCAACCAAGGACUAUCUCAUACCAGCAUGGUGCAUAAAAUAAUGAUGAAAACUAAAUGCAAAAGACGCUCCAAGAUUGCACAUAUCGCAUGAACGAAAUGAAUCUGAAAGCAUACCGAUACUUGUUGAAGAAAGAGGGGAUGUCUUCCGGGCCAUCCCCAAGCUUAGACGCUUGAGUAUCCUUGAAUAUUUACUUGGGGUGCCUUGGGCAUCCCCAAGCUUGAGCUCUUGCCUCUCUUACUUCUUCUCACAUCGAGACCUUCUCGAUCAUCGAACACUUCAUCCACACAAAACUUCAACAGAAAACUCGGUAAGAUCCGUUAGUAUAAUAAAGCAAAUAACUACUCUAAGUACUGUUUCAAACCAAUUCAUAUUUUGUUUUUGCAUCGUUUCUACUGUAAUAUAACUUUUUCAUGGCUUAAUACACUGAUAUAAAUUGAUAGUUUCAUCAAAACAAGCAAACUAUGCAUCAAAAACAGAAUCUGUCUAAAACAGAACAGUCUGUAAUAAUUUGAACAUUCACCAUACUUAUUAUACUUGAAAACUUCUACCAAAAUUUUAAAAAAUAAAAUAUUUGUAUAGAAAGACAGUGCAAAAAGAAUCAGAACCAUUUGACGUUCCAGCUAAAAAUGUAAAAUCGCGCACUACAGCCAAAGUUUCUGUCCUGCACCGUACAAACCAUCAAGCAAAUGUAAACAUCCUAAUGGAGAACCUUGGCACAUUAUUUUUAUAAUACAAUGGAAUUGUACAAGAGGAUAAUUAUUUUUGUUGAAAAGUUUCUGUAAUCAAGAUUCACAAAGUUGCUGUGAGCAUGAACAAAGUUCAAGGAGCUCUCCCACUUCAACAAUGCUUGUCUUUCUCACUUUCACUUUCCUUUUUGAAAAAGUUUUGGGUUCCCCUCUUUAUUUUUGUUGUUUUUAAACUAUAUGAAAGCACUCAACAGAAAUAAAUGACUCUCUAAAACUUCCGGGUUGUCUCCCUGGCAGCGCUUUCUUUAAAGCCAUUAAGCUAGGCAUAUAGUGCUCAAGUAGUGAAUCCACCCGGAUCCCAAGGUAUAUCAAAGCCAAUUUUAAUUAACAAUGAUUUGUAAUUUAGUAGCGAGCACAAAGUAACAUAUAUCAUGCAACAACAAAGUCUAACUCUCUUCCUAUGCAUCGACAUGUCAUAAAAGAACAAUUCACGCACACAAAGUAAAGGCCAAUGCAUAGUAUAAACAGUUUCUUGCAAUUUUAUCGUGUGGGAAACAUAGAGAGGUGGAGAUGUAGUUCCUCUCUCAUAAUAAUUGCAAGUAGGAGCAGCAAGCACAUGCAUGUUAUAUUCAUCUAAAUCAUCAUGUGUAAUAGUAAAACGCAACCAUCAAUAUAAUCCUUAAUAAGUGCAAACUUCUCUGAUAUAGUGUAGUUGGGAGAAUUCAAAAAGAUAAUAGGACUAUCAUGCGUAGGUGCAAUAGCAACAAUUUCAUGUUUAACAUAAGGAACUAUAGCAAGUUCAUCUUCAUAAGCAUAAUUCAUAUUGGCAUCUUGGCCACAAGCAUAGCAAGCAUCAUCAAAAAGGGAUAUUUCAAAAGAAUCAAUGGGGUCAUAGAAAUUAUCAUAGCAUUCAUCCUUCGGUAAGCAUGAAGGGAAAUUAAACAAUGUAUGAGUUGAAGAGUUACUCUCAUUAGAAGGUGGGCACAUGUGAUCAAUCCGCUCUUCCUCCUUUUGUUCUUCGCUCUCCUCCUCAUCUUUUUCAUCCAAUGAGCUCACAGUUUCAUCAACUUCUUCUUCCAUAGAUUCCUGCAAAAUAUUAGUCUCUUCUUGGACCGCGGAGACUUUCUCAAUAAGUGUAUUAAUAUCGGAAUUGUAUUCAUAAUUCUCAUAGAAAUAUUUAAGGAUAGCUAAAUUUUCAGGUCUAUAAACCGAAUCAUCAAGAUCUUCAAACUCUUUAAACAUAGAUUCAAUUUCAUAAGCACCCAUAAAAGCAACAAAUUCUUCUAUUUGUUCCACAUCAUAGUAAUCAUAUAUACCAUUAGCAGAAGAAGCUAAGGUUUUAUUAUCAUUGAAUUCGCAUAAAAAGGGAAGGUGUGGAGCCUUCAUCCUAGAGCAACAAGUAUAAUCAUAUCUCAAGCAUAGUUGCCUAGCAUACCAAUUCAAUAUAUGAAUUUGAUCCCAUAAUAGUUUCCCUUUUUGUGUCAAGCGGUAAUCCCUAAAGUAUUCACGUUGAUCCAACGUUACUCCCAUUACAUAAUUGAAUGGGUUUUCUCAGGAUUAUUAAAGUAGUACAUAAUAUCUUUCACAUAACCAGCAUCGAGGGUUUUAGGAGGUUCCCAUCUCCAUGAGUAGCAAGUACACCUAAUUUUUUUGGUAUUUCGUGUUCCAUAUCCAUAACUAAAGAUAAAGAACAACUAAGAACAACAAAUAAAAAUUACUUAGUGAUAAAGCAAACAAGCACACACAAGAAUAUUCACCCCACACUAUUGCUCCCCAGCAACGACGCCAGAAAAAGGUCUUGAUAACCCACAAGUAUAGGGGAUCGCAACAGUUUUCGAUAAGUAAGAGUGUCAAACCCAACGAGGAGCUAAAGGCAGAACAAAUAUUCCCUCAAGUUCUAUCGACCACUGAUACAACUCUACACAUGCUUGAUGUUCUUUUUACCUAGAACAAGUAUGAAACUAUAAGUACUUUGUAGGUGUUGUUGGAUAGGUUUGCAAGAUAAUAAAGAUUGUGUAAGUAAAAAGUAGUCGCUGUUUAGGUAAAGACACAACUAAGUUAGUUUUAGUAAAGAGCUUUUUGUUACGAGAAAGUUAUUUGUCCCUAGGCAAUCGAUAACUAGACCGGUAAUCAUUAUUGCAAUUUUAUAUGAGGGAGAGGCAUAAGCUAACAUACUUUCUCUACUUGGAUCAUAUGCGCUUAUGAUUGGAACUCUAGCAAGCAUCCGCAACUACUAAAGAUCAUUAAGGUAAAACCCAACCAUAGCAUUAAAGUAUCAAGUCCUCUUUAUCCCAUAUGCAACAACCCCCUUACUCGGGUUUGUGUUUCAGUCACUCACGCAACCCACUAUAAGCGAAUCAUGAACGUAUUGCAACACCCUACAGCGGGAAUCCCUCACGCUUACGCAACACGGAGAGCACCAUAGGACAACACCAAUAAUAAAACAUGCAACUCAAACCAAUCUUGAUCAUCAAAUAGCCCAUAGGACAAAACAGAUCUACUCAAACAUCAUAGGAUAGCCAUACAUCAAAUAAUAUAUAGCGUUGAGCACCAUGUUUAAGUAGAGAUUACAGCGGGUAAGAGAGAGGUUACACCGCUGCAUAGAGGCGGGAAGAGUUGGUGAUGAUGGCGGUGAAGUUGUUGGUGAAGAUUGCGGUGAUGAUGAUGGCCCCCGGUGGCACUCCGGUGCCACCGGAAGCGAGGGGGAGAGAGCCCCCCUCCUUCUCCUUCUUCCUUGACCUCCUCCCUAGAUGGGAGAAGGGUUUCCCCUCUGGUCCAUCACCUCCAUGGCAUGGGAGGGGCGAGAGCCCCUACGAGAUUGGAUCUGUCUCUCUGUCUCUCUUUGUUUCUGCGUUCUCAGAUUCUACCCUUUCACUGUUUCUUAUAUUUCCGGAGAUCCUAACUCCGAUUGGGCUGAAACUUUAACAUGAUCUCUAUCCGGAUAUUAGCUUUCUUGCGGUGAAAGAAGGGCACAAACCGCCUUACGGAGUGGCCACGAGGGUCAGGGGGGCGCCCCCUGCCUUGUGGGCCCCUCGAGCAUCGUCUCGCGUGGAUUUUUCUUCCCAAAAAUCAUAUAUAUUCCAAAAAAAAUCUCCAUCAGCUUUUAUUCCGUUUGGACUCCGUUUGAUAUGGAUAUUCUGCGAAACAAAAAACAUGCAACAAACAAGAACUGGCACUGGGCACUGGAUCAAUAUUUUAGUCCUAAAAAUAGUAUAAAAAGUUGCCAAAAGUAUAUGAAAGUUGUAGAAUAUUGACAUGGAACAAUCAAAAAUUAUAGAUACGACGGAGACGUAUCAACAUGCAGCUUGAGGAAGCAUGAGCACCAUUUGAGAGUGUCGUGUGCUCAUAAUCCUUUGGUGAAGGAGUACAUGGAUGAACAUCAUGGAUAGGUGUGGUCAAAAAGCAAAUUCAAUGAAAUCUGCAAAGUAGACUAUGUGACCAAUAACCUCGCUGAGUGUUUCAGUGCAAAGUUCAAGUCAGUGAAAGGGCUUUUGUUGUGGCAAGCAUUUGAUAAGAUCAGGCAGAUGAUCAUGAUAAAGAUGGCUCUUUGUAAAAGAAUUGCAGAAACACAAUAUAUUGGCCAUCUUAUGCUCCCAUCUCUGAUUAAGGCAUUGCAUGCCAAGGCAAGAGGACUAAGGAUGAAAUGCAUUUCAACGUAUCUAUAAUUUUUUAUUGUUCCAUGCUGUUAUAUUAUCAUUCUUGGAUGUUUUACAAUUAUUUUAUAGCAAGUUUAUAUCAUUUUUUGGGACUAACCUAUUGACAUAGUGCCCAGUGCCAGUUCUUGUUUAAUGCUUGUUUUUUACUUCGCAGAAAAUCAAUACCAAACGGAGUCCAAAUGCAGCGAAACUUUUUGGAGAAUUUUUCUGGGCCAGAAGACACACGUUGGGCCAAAGAAGUGCCAGAGGGGUACCCCGAGGGGGGCACAAUCCACAUGGGCGCGCCUGGGGGCCCAGGCGCGCCCUGGUGGGUUAUGCCCACCUUGGUGGCCUCUUGCACCACCUCUUUGCUCUAUAAAUAUCCCAAUAUUCCAGAAACCCUAGGGGAGUCGACGGAAAUCAAUUCCAGCCACUGCAAGUUCCAGAAACCACAUAUCCAAUCUAGACACCAUCACGAAGGGGUUCAUCAUCCUCAUUGGUGCCUCUCCGAUGAUGCGUGACAGCGUGAGUAGUUCAUUGUAGACCUACGGGUCCGUAGUUUGUAGCUAGAUGGCUUCCUCUCUCUUUUGAUUCUCAGUGCAAUGGUCUCUUGGAGAUCUAUUUGAUGUAACUCUUUUUGCGGUGUGUUUGUUGGGAUUCGAUGAACUUUGAGUUUAUGAUCGGAUCUAUGCUUUUAUCCAUGAAAGUUAUUUGAUUCUUUUAUGCAUGAUUACUUAUAGCCUCGUAUUACUUCUCCGAAUCUUUGAUUUAGUUAGGCCGACUAGAUCGAUUUUUCUUGCCAUGGGAAGAGGUGCUUUGUGAUGGGUUCGAUCUUACGGUGCUCGAUCCCAGUGACAGAAGGGGAAACGACACGUAUGUAUCGUUCCUAUUAAGGAUAACAAGAUGGGGUCUAUUCCUAUAUGACUAGAUCUUGUCUACAUCAUGUCAUCGUUCUUAUUGCAUUACUCCGUUUCUCCAUGAACUUAAUACACUAGAUGCAUGUUGGGAUAGCGGUCGAUGUGUGGAGUAAUAUUAGUCGAUGUGCGUAGGAAUUUUUUUGAAAUUACUACGAAACCCAACAAGUAUGACAUGCUGGUAAGCAGUAUGACUUAUAUCGCCCACAACUCACUUGUGUUCUACUCGUGCAUAUAACAUCAACAUAUAAAACCUAGGCUCGGAUGCCACUGUAGGGUUUCGUAGUAAUUUCAAAAAAAUUCCUACACACACGGAAGAUCAUGGUGAUGCAUAGCAACGAGAGGGGGAGAGUGUGAUCUACGUACCCUUGUAGAUCGACAACGAAAGCGUUAACUUGGUUGAUGUAGUCGUACGUCUUCACGGCCCGACCGAUCAAGCACCAAAACUACGACGCCUCCGAGUUCUAGCACACGUUCAGCUCGAUGACAAUCCCCGGACUCCGAUCCAGCAAAGUGUCGGGGAAGAGUUCCGUCGGCACGACGCCGUGGUGACGAUCUUGAUGUACUACUGCCGCAGGGCUUCGCCUAAGCACCGCUACAAUAUUAUCGAGGACUAUGGUGGAAGGGGGCACCGCACACGGCUAAGAAUAUGAUCACGUGGAUCAACUUGUGUCUCUAGGGGGUGCCCCUGCCUCCGUAUAUAAAGGUUCAAGGGAGGGGGGCCGGCCGGCCAGGAGAGGCGCGCCAGGAGGAGUCCUACUCCCUCUGGGAGUAGGACUCCCCCCCUUUCCUAGUUGGAAUAGGAUUCGUGGAGGGGGGGGGAAGAGGAGAGAGAGGAGGAAGGGGGGCCGGCCCCCUCUCCUUGUCCAAUUCGGACCAAGGGGGGAGGGGCGCGCGGCCCAUCUCUGGCCACCUCUCCUCUCUUCCACUAAGGCCCACUAAGGCCCAUAUACCUCCCGGGGGGUUCCGGUAACCUCCCGGUACUCUGAUAAAAUCCCGAUUUCACCCGGAACACUUCCGAUAUCCAAACAUAGGCUUCCAAUAUAUCAAUCUUUAUGUCUCGACCAUUUCGAGACUCCUCGUCAUGUCCGUGAUCACAUCCGGGACUCCGAACAACCUUCGGUACAUCAAAAUGCAUAAACUCAUAAUAUAACUGUCAUCGUAACCUUAAGCGUGCGGACCCUACGGGUUCGAGAACAAUGUAGACAUGACCGAGACACGUCUCCGGUCAAUAACCAAUAGCGGAACCUGGAUGCUCAUAUUGGCUCCUACAUAUUCUACGAAGAUCUUUUAUCGGUCAGACCGCAUAACAACAUACGUUGUUCCCUUUGUCAUCGGUAUGUUACUUGCCCGAGAUUUGAUCGUCGGUAUCCCAUACCUAGUUCAAUCUCGUUACCGGCAAGUCUCUUUACUCGUUCUGUAAUACAUCAUCCCACAACUAACUCAUUAGUUGCAAUGCUUGCAAGGCUUAAGUGAUGUGCAUUACCGAGAGGGCCCAGAGAUACCUCUCCGACAAUCGGAGUGACAAAUCCUAAUCUCGAAAUACGCCAACCCAACGUGUACCUUUGGAGACACCUGUAGAGCUCCUUUAUAAUCACCCAGUUACGUUGUGACGUUUGGUAGCACACAAAGUGUUCCUCUGGCAAACGGGAGUUGCAUAAUUUCAUAGUCAUAGGAACAUGUAUAAGUCAUGAAGAAAGCAAUAGCAACAUACUAAAUGAUCGGGUGUAAGCUAAUGGAAUGGGUCAUGUCAAUCAGAUCAUUCAACUAAUGAUGUGAUCCCGUUAAUCAAAUAACAACUCUUUGUCCAUGGUUAGGAAACAUAACCAUCUUUGAUUAACGAGCUAGUCAAGUAGAGGCAUACUAGUGACACUCUGUUUGUCUAUGUAUUCACACAUGUAUUAUGUUUCCGGUUAAUACAAUUCUAGCAUGAAUAAUAAACUUUUAUCAUGAUAUAAAGAAAUAAAUAAUAACUUUAUUAUUGCCUCUAGGGCAUAUUUCCUUCAGUCUCCCACUUGCACUAGAGUCAAUAAUCUAGAUUACAUAGUAAUGAUUCUAACACCCAUGGAGCCUUGGUGCUGAUCAUGUUUUGCUCGUGGAAGAGGCUUAGUCAACGGGUCUGCAACAUUCAGAUCCGUAUGUAUCUUGCAAAUCUCUAUAUCUCCCACCUGGACUAGAUCCCGGAUGGAAUUGAAGCGUCUCUUGAUGUGCUUGGUUCUCUUGUGAAAUCUGGAUUCCUUCGCCAAGGCAAUUGCACCAGUAUUGUCACAAAAGAUUUUCAUUGGACCCGAUGCACUAGGUAUGACACCUAGAUCGGAUAUAAACUCCUUCGUCCAGACUCCUUCAUUCGCUGCUUCCGAAGCAGCUAUGUAUUCCGCUUCACACGUAGAUCCCGCCACGACGCUCUGUUUAGACCUGCACCAACUGACAGCUCCACUGUUUAAUGUAAACACGUAUCCGGUUUGCGAUUUAGAAUCGUCCGGAUCAGUGUCAAAGCUUGCAUCAACGUAACCGUUUACGAUUAGCUCUUUGUCACCUCCAUAUACGAGAAACAUAUCCUUAGUCCUUUUCAGGUACUUCAGGAUGUUCUUGACCGCUGUCCAGUGAUCCACUCCUGGAUUACUUUCGUACCUCCCUGCUAGACUUAUAGCAAGGCACACAUCAGGUCUGGUACACAGCAUUGCAUACAUGAUAGAGCCUAUGGCUGAAGCAUAGGGAACAUCUUUCGUUUUCUCUCUAUCUUCUGCAGUGGUUGGGCAUUGAGUCUGACUCAACUUCACACCUUGUAACACAGGCAAGAACCCUUUCUUUGCUUGAUCCAUUUUGAACUUCUUCAAAAUCUUGUCAAGGUAUGUGCUUUGUGAAAGUCCAAUUAAACGUCUUGAUCUAUCUCUAUAGAUCUUUAUGCCUAAUAUGUAAGCAGCUUCACCGAGGUCUUUCAUUGAAAAACUCUUAUUCAAGUAUCCCUUUAUGCUAUCCAGAAAUUCUAUAUCAUUUCCAAUCAGUAAUAUGUCAUCCACAUAUAAUAUCAGAAAUGCUAUAGAGCUCCCACUCACUUUCUUGUAAAUACAGGCUUCUCCAAAAGUCUGUAUAAAACCAAAUGCUAUGAUCACACUAUCAAAGCGUUUAUUCCAACUCCGAGAGGCUUGCACCAGUCCAUAAAUGGAUCGCUGGAGCUUGCACACUUUGUUAGCUCCCUUUGGAUCGACAAAACCUUCCGGUUGCAUCAUAUACAACUCUUCUUCCAGAAAUCCAUUCAGGAAUGUGUUGGGUUUCGUAGUAAUUUCAAAAAAAUUCCUACGCACACGCAAGAUCAUGUGAUGCAUAGCAACGAGAGGGGAGAGUGUUGUCUACGUACCCAACACAGACCGACUGCGGAAGCACUGACACAACAUAGAGGAAGUAGUCGUACGUCUUCACGAUCCAACCGAUCAAGCACUAAAACUACAGCACCUCCGAGUUCGAGCACACGUUCAGCUCGUUGACGAUCCCCGGACUCUGAUCCAGCAAAGUGUCGGGGAAGAGUUCCGUCAGCACGACGGCGUGGUGACGAUCUUGAUGCACUACAGCAGCAGGGCUUCGCCUAAACUCCGCUACAGUAUUAUCGAGGACUAUGGUGGCAGGGGGCACCGCACACGGCUAAGGAAUAGAUCACGUGGAUCAACUUGUGUGUUCUCGGGUGCCUCUGCCUCAGUAUAUAAAGGACUAGAGGGGGGAGGCUGGCCGGCCAAGGUGUGGCGCGCCAGGAGAGUCCUACUCCCUCUGGGAGUAGGAUGCCCCCCCCAAUCCUAGUUGGAAUAGGAUUCGCGGAGGGGGAAAAGAGAGAGAGGGGGCCGACCAAUAAGGGAGCAGGUACAGUUACCUCGUCAAGUUCUACUUUCCUCCCACUCACUUCUUUCGAGAGAAACUCCUUCUCCAGAAAGUUUCCGAAUUUAGCAACAAAAGUCUUUCCUUCGGAUCUGUGAUAGAAGGUGUAUCCAAUAGUUUCCUUUGGAUAUCCUAUGAAGACACAUUUCUUCGAUUUGGGUUCGAGCUUAUCAGGUUGAAGCUUUUUCACAUAAGCAUCGCAGCCCCAAACUUUUAGAAACGACAACUUUGGUUUCUUGCCAAACCACAGUUCAUAAGGCAUCGUCUCAUCGGAUUUUGAUGCUGCCCUAUUUAACGUGAAUGCGUCCAUCUCUAGAGCGUAUCCCCAAAACGAUAGCGGUAAAUCAGUAAGAGACAUCAUAGAUCGCACCAUAUCCAGUAAAGUACGAUUACGACGUUCGGACACACCAUUACGCUAAGGUGUUCCGGGUGGCGUGAGUUGCGAAACUAUUCCACAAUUUUUCAAAUGUACACCAAACUCAUAACUCAAAUAUUCUCCUCCACGAUCAGAUCGUAGAAACUUUAUUUUCUUGUUACGAUGAUUUUCAACUUCACUCUGAAAUUCUUUGAACUUUUCAAAUGUUUCAGACUUAUGUUUCAUUAAGUAGAUAUACCCAUAUCUGCUUAAAUCAUCUGUGAAGGUGAGAAAAUAACGAUAUCUGCCACGAGCCUCAAUAUUCAUCGGACCACAUACAUCUGUAUGUAUGAUUUCCAACAAAUCUGUUGCUCUCUCCAUAGUACCGGAGAACGGCGUUUUGGUCAUCUUGCCUAUGAGGCACGGUUCGCAAGUACCAAGUGAUUCAUAAUCAAGUGGUUCCAAAAGUCCAUCAGAAUGGAGUUUCUUCAUGCGCUUUACACCGAUAUGACCUAAACGGCAGUGCCACAAAUAACUUGCACUAUCAUUAUCAACUCUGCAUCUUUUGGCUUCAACAUUAUGAAUAUGUGUGUUACUACUAUCGAGAUCCAACAAGAAUAGACCACUCUUCAAGGGUGCAUGACCAUAAAAGAUAUUACUCAUAUAAAUAGAACAACCAUUAUUCUCUGAUUUAAAUGAAUAACUGUCUCGCAUCAAACAAGAUCCAGAUAUAAUGUUCAUGCUUAACGCUGGCACCAAAUAACAAUUAUUUAGGUCUAAUACUAAUCCCGAAGGUAGAUGUAGAGGUAGCGUGCCGACUGCGAUCACAUCGACUUUGGAAUUGUUUCCCUCGCGCAUCGUCACCUCGUCCUUAACCAAUCUUCGCUUUAUCCAUAGUCCCUGUUUCGAGUUGCAAAUAUUAGCAACAGAACCAGUAUCAAAUACCCAGGUGCUACUGCGAGCAUUAGUAAGGUACACAUCAAUAACAUGUAUAUCACAUAUACCUUUGUUCACCUUGCCAUCCUUCUUAUCCGCCAAAUACUUGGGGCAGUUCCGCUUCCAGUGACCAGUCUGCUUGCAAUAGAAGCACUCAGUUUCAGGCUUAGGUCCAGGCUUGGGUUUCUUCUCUUGAGUAGCAACUUGCUUGCCGCUCCUUUUGAAGUUCCCCUUCUUCUUCCCUUUGCCCUUUUUCUUGAAACUAGUGGUCUUGUUGACCAUCAACACUUGAUGCUCCUUCUUGAUUUCUACCUCCGCAGCUUUCAGCAUCGCGAAGAGCUCGGGAAUAGUCUUGUUCAUCCCUUGCAUAUUAUAGUUCAUCACGAAGCUCUUGUAGCUUGGUGGCAGUGAUUGAAGAAUUCUGUCAAUGACGCUAUCAUCUGGAAGAUUAACUCGCAAUUGAAUCAAGUGAUUAUUAUACCCAAACAUUUUGAGUAUAUGCUCACUGACAGAACUGUUCUCCUCCAUCUUGCAGCUAUAGAACUUAUUGGAGACUUCAUAUCUCUCAAUCCGGGCAUUUGCUUGAAAUAUUAACUUCAACUCCUGGAACAUCUCAUAUGCUCCAUGACGUUCAAAACGUCGUUGAAGUCCUGAUUCUAAGCCGUAAAGCAUGGCACACUGAACUAUCGAGUAGUCAUCAGCUUUGCUCUGCCAGAUGUUCAUAACAUCCGGCGUUGCUCCUGCAGCAGGCCUGGCACCCAGCGGUGCUUCCAGGACAUAAUUCUUCUGUGCAGCAAUGAGGAUAAUCCUCAAGUUACGGACCCAGUCCGUGUAAUUGCUACCAUCAUCUUUCAACUUUGCUUUCUCAAGGAACGCAUUAAAAUUCAACGGAACAACAGCACGAGCCAUCUAUCUACAAUCAAACAUAAACAAGCAAGAUACUAAUCAGGUACUAAGUUUCAUGAUAAAUUUAAGUUCAGUUAAUCAAGUUAAUUAAAGAACUCCCACUUAGAUAGACAUCCCUCUAAUCCUCUAAGUGAUUACGUGAUCCAAAUCAACUAAACCAUAACCGAUCAUCACGUGAGAUGGAGUAGUUUUCAAUGGUGAACAUCGUUAUGUUGAUCAUAUCUACUAUAUGAUUCACGCUCGACCUUUCAGUCUCCGUGUUCCGAGGCCAUAUCUGUAUAUGCUUGGCUCGUCAAGUAUAACCUGAGUAUUCCGCGUGUGCAACUGUUUUGCACCCGUUGUAUUUGAACGUAGAACCUAUCACACCCGAUCAUCACGUGGUGUCUCAGCACGAAGAACUUUCGCAACGGUGCAUACUCAGGGAGAACACUUCUUGAUAAUUUAGUGAGAGAUCAUCUUAUAAUGCUACCGUCAAUCAAAGCAAGAUAAGAUGCAUAAAAGGAUAAACAUCACAUGCAAUCAAUAUAAGUGAUAUGAUAUGGCCAUCAUCAUCUUGUGCUUGUGAUCUUCAUCUCCGAAGCACCGUCGUGAUCACCAUCGUCACCGGCGUGACACCUUGAUCUCCAUCGUAGCAUCGUUGUCGUCUCGCCAAGCUUAUGCUUCCACGACUAUCACUACCGCUUAGUAAAGCAUUACAUCAUGAUUUCAUUGCAUACAAUAAAACGACAACCAUAAGGCUCCUGCCAGUUGCCGAUAACUCGGUUACAAAACAUGAUCAUCUCAUACAAUAAAAUUCAGCAUCAUGUCUUGACCAUAUCACAUCACAACAUGCCCUGCAAAAACAAGUUAGACGUCCUCUACUUUGUUGUUGCAAGUUUUACGUGGCUGCUACGGGCUUAAGCAAGAACCAAUCUCACCUACGCAUCAAAACCACAAUGAUAGUUUGUCAAAUAGACUCCGUUUUAACCUUCGCAAGGACCGGGUGUAGCCAUACUUGGUUCAACUAAAGUUGGAGAGACAGUCGCCCGCAAGCCACCUAUGUGCAAAGCACGUCGGGGGAACCGGUCUCGCGUAAGCGUACGCGUAAUGUUGGUCCGGGUCGUCUCGUCCAACAAUGCCGCCAAACCAAAGUAUGACAUGCUGGUAGGCAGUAUGACUUAUAUCACCCACAACUCACUUGUGUUCUACUCGUGCAUAUAACAUCAACAUAAAUAACCUAGGCUCGGAUGCCACUGUUGGGUUUCGUAGUAAUUUCAAAAAAUUUCCUACGCACACGCAAGAUCAUGUGAUGCAUAGCAAUGAGAGGGGAGAGUGUUGUCUAUGUACCCAACGCAGACCGACUGCGGAAGCGCUGACACAACAUAGGAAGUAGUCGUACGUCUUCACGAUCCAACCGAUCAAGCACCGAAACUACGGCACCUCCAAGUUCGAGCACACGUUCAGCUCAUUGACGAUCCCCGGACUCCGAUCCAGCAAAGUGUCGGGGAAGAGUUCCAUCAGCACGACGGCGUGGUGACGAUCUUGAUGCACUACAGCAGCAGGGCUUCGCCUAAACUCCGCUACAGUAUUAUCGAGGACUAUGGUGGCAGGGGGCACCGCACACGGCUAAGGAAUAGAUCACGUGGAUCAACUUGUGUGUUCUCGGGUGCCUCUGCCUCAGUAUAUAAAGGACUAGAGGGGGGAGGCUGGCCGGCCAAGGUGUGGCGCGCCAGGAGAGUCCUACUCCCUCUGGGAGUAGGAUUCCCCCCCCCAAUCCUAGUUGGAAUAGGAUUCGCGGAGGGGGAAAAGAGAGAGAGGGGGCCGGCCACCUCUCCUAGUCCUAAUAGGACUAGGGGAAGGGGGAGGCGCACAGCCCAUGUAGGGCUGCCUCUUCUGUUUUCCACUAAGGCCCAUCAUGGCCCAUUUAGCUCCCGGGGGGUUCCGGUAACCUUCCCGGUACUCCGGUAAAAUCCCGAUUUCACCCGGAACACUUCCGAUAUCCAAACAUAGGCUUCCAAUAUAUCAAUCUUUAUGUCUCGACCAUUUCAAGACUCCUCGUCAUGUCCGUGAUCACAUCCGGGACUCCAAACAACCUUCGGUACAUCAAAAUGCAUAAACUCAUAAUAUAACUGUCAUCGUAACCUUAAGCGUGCGGACCCUACGGGUUCGAGAACAAUGUAGACAUGACCGAGACACGUCUUCGGUCAAUAACCAAUAGCGGGACCUGGAUGCCCAUAUUGGCUCCUACAUAUUCUACGAAGAUCUUUAUCGGUCAGACCGCAUAACAACAUACGUUGUUCCCUUUGUCAUCGAUAUGUUACUUGCCCGAGAUUCGAUUGUCGGUAUUCUAGUACCUAGUUCAAUCUCGUUACCGGCAAGUCUCUUAACUCGUUCUGUAAUACAUCAUCCCGCAACUAACUCAUUUAGUUGCAAUGCUUGCAAGGCUUAAGUGAUGUGCAUUACCGAGAGGGCCCAGAGAUACCUCUCCGACAAUCGGAGUGACAAAACCUAAUCUCGAAAUACGCCAACCCAACAUCUACCUUUGGAGACACCUGUAAUGCUCCUUUAUAAUCACCCAGUUACGUUGUGACGUUUGGUAGCACCCAAAGUGUUCCUCCGGAAAACGGGAGUUGCAUAAUCUCAUAGUUAUAGGAACAUGUAUAAGUCAUGAAGAAAGCAAUAGCAACAUACUAAACGAUCGGGUGCUAAGCUAAUGGAAUGGGUCAUGUCAAUCAGAUCAUUCAACUAAUGAUGUGACCUCGUUAAUCAAAUAACAACUCAUUGUUCAUGGUUAGGAAACAUAACCAUCUUUGAUUAACGAGCUAGUCAAGUAGAGGCAUACUAGUGGCACUUUGUUUGUCUAUGUAUUCACACAUGUAUUAUGUUUCCGGUUAAUACAAUUCUAGCAUGAAUAAUAAACAUUUAUCAUGAUUAUAAGGAAAUAAAUAAUAACUUUAUUAUUGCCUCUAGGGCAUAUUUCCUUCAAAAUGCAGUUUUGACAUCCAUCUGCCAAAUUUCAUAAUCAUAAAAUGCGGCAAUUGCUAACAUGAUUCGGACAGACUUAAGCAUCACUACGGGUGAGAAGGUCUCAUCGUAGUCAAUCCCUUGAACUUGUCGAAACCCUUUUUGCGACAAGCCGAGCUUUGUAGACGGUAAUAUUACCGUCGGCGUCAGUCUUCUUCUUGAAGAUCCAUUUAUUCUCAAUUGCUUGCCGAUCAUUGGGCAAGUCAACCAAAGUCCAUACUUUGUUCUCAUACAUGGAUCCCAUCUCAGAUUUCAUGGCUUCAAGCCAUUUUGCGGAAUCUGGGCUCACCAUCGCUUCUUCAUAGUUCGUAGGUUCAUCAUGAUCUAGUAGCAUGACUUCCAGAACAGGAUUACCAUACCACUCUGGUGCGGAUCUCACUCUGGUUGAUCUACGAGGUUCAGUAGUAUCUUGUUCUGAAGUUUCAUGAUCAUUAUCAUUAGCUUCCUCACUAAUUGGUGUAGGUGUCACAGAAAUAGUUUUCUGUGAUGCACUACUUUCCAAUAAGGGAGCAGGUACAGUUACCUCGUCAAGUUCUACUUUCCUCCCACUCACUUCUUUCGAGAGAAACUCCUUCUCCAGAAAGUUUCUGAACUUAGCAACAAAAGUCUUGCCUUCGGAUCUGUGAUAGAAGGUGUAUCCAAUAGUCUCCUUUGGAUAUCCUAUGAAGACACAUUUCUCCGAUUUGGGUUCGAGCUUAUCAGGUUGAAGCUUUUUCACAUAAGCAUCGCAGCCCCAAACUUUCAGAAACGACAACUUUGGUUUCUUGCCAAACCAUAGUUCAUAAGGCGUCGUCUCAACGGAUUUUGAUGGUGCCCUAUUUAACGUGAAUGCGGCCGUCUCCAAAGCAUAACCCCAAAACGAUAGCGGUAAAUCAGUAAGAGACAUCAUAGAUUGCACCAUAUCUAGUAAAGUACGAGUACGACGUUCGGACACACCAUUACGCUGUGGUGUUCCGGGUGGCGUGAGUUGCGAAACUAUUCCGCAUUGUUUCAAAUGUACACCAAACUCGUAACUCAAAUAUUCUCCUCCAUGAUCAGAUCGUAGAAACUUUAUUUUUCUUGUUACGAUGAUUUUCAACUUCACUCUGAAAUUCUUUGAACUUUUCAAACGUUUCAGACUUAUGUUUCAUUAAGUAGAUAUACCCAUAUCUGCUUAAGUCAUCUGUGAAGGUGAGAAAAUAACGAUAUCCGCCAUGAGCCUCAAUAUUCAUCGGACCACAUACAUCUGUAUGUAUGAUUUCCAACAAAUCUGUUGCUCUCUCCAUAGUACCAGAGAACGGCGUUUUAGUCAUCUUGCCCAUGAGGCACGGUUCGCAAGUACCAAGUGAUUCAUAAUCAAGUGGUUCCAAAAGUCCAUUAGUAUGGAGUUUCUUCAUGCGCUUUACACCGAUAUGACCUAAACGGCAGUGCCACAAAUAGGUUGCACUAUCAUUGUCAACUCUGCAUCUUUUGGCUUCAACAUUAUGAAUAUGUGUGUUACUACUAUCGAGAUUCAAUAAGAAUAGACCACUCUUCAAGGGUGCAUGACCAUAAAAGAUAUUACUCAUAUAAAUAGAACAACCAUUAUUCUCUGAUUUAAAUGAAUAACCGUCUCGCAUCAAACAAGAUCCAGAUAUAAUGUUCAUGCUUAACGCUGGCACCAAAUAACAAUUAUUUAGGUCUAAUAUUAAUCCCGAAGGUAGAUGUAGAGGUAGCGUGCCGACUGCGAUCACAUCGACUUUGGAACCGUUUCCCACGCGCAUCAUCACCUCGUCCUUAGCCAAUCUUCGCUUAAUCCGUGGUCCCUGUUUCGAGUUGCAAAUAUUAGCAACAGAACCAGUAUCAAAUACUCAGGUGCUACUGCGAGCAUUAGUAAGGUACACAUCAAUAACAUGUAUAUCACAUAUACCUUUGUUCACCUUGCCAUCCUUCUUAUCCGCCAAAUACUUGGGGCAGUUCCGCUUCCAGUGACCAGUCUGCUUGCAGUAGAAGCACUCAGUUUCAGGCUUAGGUCCAGACUUGGGUUUCUUCUCUUGAGCAGCAACUUGCUUGCUGUUCUUCUUGAAGUUCCCUUUCUUCUUCCCUAUGCCCUUUUCUUGAAACUAGUGCUCUUGUUGACCAUCAACACUUGAUGCUCCUUUUUGAUUUCUACCUCCGCAGCUUUCAGCAUUGCGAAGAGCUCGGGAAUAGUCUUAUUCAUCCCUUGCAUAUUAUAGUUCAUCACGAAGCUCUUGUAGCUUGGUGGUAGUGAUUGGAGAAUUCUGUCAAUGACGCAAUCAUCUGGAAGAUUAACUCCCAUUUGAAUCAAGUGAUUAUUAUACCCAGACAUUUUGAGUAUAUGCUUAGUGACAGAACUGUUCUCCUCCAUCUUGCAGCUAUAGAACUUAUUGGAGACUUCAUAUCUCUCAAUCCGGGCAUUUGCUUGAAAUAUUAACUUCAACUCCUGGAACAUCUCAUAUGCUCCAUGACGUUCAAAACGUCGUUGAAGUCCCGGUUCUAAGCCGUAAAGCAUGGCACACUGAACUAUCGAGUAGUCAUCAGCUUUGCUCUGCCAGACGUUCACAACAUCUGGUGUUGCUCCAGCAGCAGGCCUGGCACCCAGCGGUGCUUCCAGGACGUAAUUCUUCUGUGCAGCAAUGAGGAUAAUCCUCAAGUUACGGACCCAGUCCGUAUAAUUGCUACCAUCAUGUUUCAACUUUGCUUUCUCAAGGAACGCAUUAAAAUUCAACGGAACAACAGCACGGGCCAUUUAUCUACAAUCAUACAUAAACAAGCAAGAUACUAUCAGGUACUAAGUUCAUGAUAAAUUUAGGUUCAAUUAAUCAUAUUACUUAAAGAACUCCCACUUAGAUAGACAUCCCUCUAAUCCUCUAGGUGAUUACGUGAUCCAAAUCAACUAAACCAUGUCCGAUCAUCACGUGAGAUGGAGUAGUUUCAUUGGUGAACAUCACUAUGUUGAUCAUAUCUACUAUAUGAUUCACGCUCGACCUUUCGGUCUCCGUGUUCCGAGGCCAUAUCUGUAUAUGCUUGGCUCGUCAAGUAUAACCUGAGUAUUCCGCGUGUGCAACUGUUUUGCACCCGUUGUAUUUGAACGUAGAGCCUAUCACACCCGAUCAUCACGUGGUGUCUCAGCACGAAGAACUUUCACAACGGUGCAUACUCAGGGAGAACACUUCUUGAUAAUUUAGUGAGAGAUCAUCUUAUAAUGCUACCGUUAAUCUAAGCAAGAUAAGAUGCAUAAAAGAUAAACAUCACAUGCAAUCAAUAUAAGUGAUAUGAUAUGGCCAUCAUCAUCUUGUGCUUGUGAUCUCCAUCUCCGAAGCACCGUCAUGAUCACCAUCGUCACCGGCGUGACACCUUGAUCUCCAUCGUAGCAUCGUUGUCAUCUCGCCAAUCUUAUGCUUCCACGACUAUCGCUGCCGCUUAGUGAUAAAGUAAAGCAUUACAGCGUGAUUGCAUUGCAUACAAUAAAGCGACAACCAUAUGGCUCCUGCCAGUUGCCGAUGACUCGGUUACAAAACAUGAUCAUCUCAUACAAUAAAAUUUAGCAUCAUGUCUUGACCAUAUCACAUCACAACAUGCCCUGCAAAAACAAGUUAGACGUCCUCUACUUUGUUGUUGCAUGUUUUACGUGGCUGCUACGGGCUUAAGCAAGAACCAAUCUUACCUGCGCAUCAAAACCACAACGAUAGUUUGUCAAGUUGGUGUUGUUUUAACCUUCACAAGGACCGAGCGUAGCCACACUUGGUUCAACUAAAGUUGGAGAAACUGUCACCCGCAAGCCACCUAUGUGCAAAGCACGUCGGGAGAACCGGUCUCGCGUAAGCGUACGCGUAAUGUCGGUCCGGGCCGCUUCGUUCAACAAUACCGCCGAACCAAAGUAUGACAUGCUGGUAAGCAGUAUGACUUAUAUCGCCCACAACUCACUUGUGUUCUACUCGUGCAUAUAACAUCAACAUAUAAAACCUAGGCUCUGAUACCACUGUUGGGAUAGGACAGAGAAAUAUGUCUCAAGUGACGGAUUUCAAAGAUGGAGUGGAUGUGUGCGGUCUCAGAGAUAUUAAAUUUUCCAACACUAGGUGGACUUCUGAAAAGCGUGUGGCCGGGGACAGCUACACCAAGGUACAACUGGACAUAGCUCUAGCUUCGGUUGACUGGUACAGCAAGUUUCCUAAUGUUGUGCUCGCAUCAACAUCCACAUCUGACCACAACCCUAUAGUCCAUCACUUCUGAUCAAAUCCGAUGAAUUGAUGUGGGAAUCCUAUGAUGGGUUCAAGGAAACCAUAGAGCAACAUUAGCAAGGCCUGGGAACUCAUAUGUUCGACGGAUUCUAGGCCAAACUCAACUCCCUGUCAGCCACAUUAACUCGUUGGAACAAGACAACUGUUGGGCAUGUUAAAUCGAAAAUAAGGAAGCUGAGAAUUAAAAAGCUUAAUGUGUCGGGAUGGAACUUGCAUCGAGGAUGCUGCGAAGACGGAGCAGAUGGUUACAACCUUUUAUCGGGACCUUUUCAUAUGAGGGAACGACCAACAUGGAUAAAGUGAUCAAUACGGCAUGUCACCAAUGUGAUGAAUGAAAGGUUAACAACAAACUAUAUAAUAGAGGAGGUAAAGUCUGCCCCGCAAAAGCACCAGACUCUGAUGGAUAUCCGACUCAAUUUUUCCAGCAACACCUAGAGAUGUGUGGAGAAGAAGUGACCAUGUUGGUCUUAUGUAUCUUGAGAGGAGUAGAGGAUAUUGGGGCCUGAAUGACACAAUUUUGGUUCCAAAUCCAAAGGUAACAAGCCCGACCCUCCUAUCUCAGUUUCGAUCUAUGAGUCUGUGCGAUGUCCUUUAUAAGAUUGCUUCGACGGUUCUGCCUAACCAUCUGAAGUUGAUCCUACCUAAGAUUAUUUCAGAAGAANNNNNNNNNNNNNNNNNNNNNNNNNNNNNNNNNNNNNNNNNNNNNNNNNNNNNNNNNNNNNNNNNNNNNNNNNNNNNNNNNNNNNNNNNNNNNNNNNNNNNNNNNNNNNNNNNNNNNNNNNNNNNNNNNNNNNNNNNNNNNNNNNNNNNNNNNNNNNNNNNNNNNNNNNNNNNNNNNNNNNNNNNNNNNNNNNNNNNNNNNNNNNNNNNNNNNNNNNNNNNNNNNNNNNNNNNNNNNNNNNNNNNNNNNNNNNNNNNNNNNNNNNNNNNNNNNNNNNNNNNNNNNNNNNNNNNNNNNNNNNNNNNNNNNNNNNNNNNNNNNNNNNNNNNNNNNNNNNNNNNNNNNNNNNNNNNNNNNNNNNNNNNNNNNNNNNNNNNNNNNNNNNNNNNNNNNNNNNNNNNNNNNNNNNNNNNNNNNNNNNNNNNNNNNNNNNNNNNNNNNNNNNNNNNNNNNNNNNNNNNNNNNNNNNNNNNNNNNNNNNUCUUUCCAAGUCUUCGAGUUUUUUGAGUAAAGGGUGCCCUCAAGUGGUUAGGGAUGAGAUGAAGGCUAUUCUCAACGUCCACAAUAAAAGUUUAUCGGAGAAGGUACUUGGGGAUGCCUACUGAUGUAGGUACUGGCAAAAUGGAGCUUUCAAGUAUCUUAAAAAGAAGGUUUGGAAUAAGGUAACAUGUUUGAUGAACAAAAUUCUUUCUUCCGGACAAGAAGAUAUGCUUAACAAAUUUGUGGCGCAGGCGAUACCAGUCUACUCUGUCUUGCUUUAAACUACUGCGUGGACCCUAACUUCAAAUAAACUCUAUCAAUAGGAAGCUGUAGCGGGGUAGUAGGCGUGAGUUAAGGAAGAUGAGUUGGGUGUCAUGGGAGGUUAUGGCAUGACCAAAAUACCAAGGGUGCUAGGUUUCAGAGAUAUAGGGGUAUUUAAUUUGGUCAUGUUGGCAAGGCAAGCAUGGCGGAUCUUGCAAGCUCCCGACACUUUAAGCGCAAACAAUCUGAAAGCAAGCUAUUAUCCUAAUACUGUUUUUUUUUUUUUUUUGAAAGCUCAACUUGGUGGCCAUCUUUCGCAGAUUUGGAGGGAAAUAGUGAAGUCACUUGAUCUAUUCGAUUUUGAGAACUAGACUCCUUUGUUUGAUCAUGGUAAGACAAUGUUCCUGUCUCAUUGUGUCUGCCCUACAAGAGUAAGUUUCCCAUACAUAGUCCUAUUCGAUUUGAUAACUGGGCGAUCGUGCUGCGCCGAGCUGCCUACAGAUCAGCGUCAUCCUCGUCUGAUUUGCUAGAUGGCUCGCCAUUGACAGCGACAAGCUCUGUGUCGAAUAUGAGAGUUGCUCCGCCUGCAAGAGAAAAACAGGACUCAUAUCAGAAAUCUGCAAGAAAAACAGUUGCCUACUAGCAAGAGAGCGUAAAAUGGUAUACCUGGAAUGGUAGGUGGCGAUCCCUGAUCCCCAUAGCCGAGCUUUGAAGGGAUCUUCAGCUUCCUCUUCUCACCAAUGCACAUGCCCAAAAUUCCCUGGUCCCAUCCUACAGAGUGAAGUAUAGACAUUCAGACACAGAAACAAAUUGUAAAUGAAGAAAUUACUAGUUAUCCAAUGAGCUGUUUUCACAAUUACCUUUGAUCACUUGACCAGUGCCCAAUUCAAAUUCAAUCGGGUCACCCCUUUCAUAGCUAGAAUCAAAAACUGUUCCAUCGGUAAGUGUUCCCUGGUGAUAGAAUAGACAUGAUUCAGAAAUGAAUUCCUAUAUCAUGUAGCAUCAAAACCUCUUGAAGUACACCUAUGGAAUGGUUGAAUUAACAUAUUCUAGCAUAAGUUCUAACUAUCUUUACAUUGGAUCAAAAAGAUGUCUUGUAGCUUCCUCAAAGCAAAUUCACAUUUUAUUUUUUCAAUAUCAUACAUAUUGCAGUAGAUAAAAUCCUUAGGGGAGUACUGAAGGACUAAGUUCUCUUUUCUUCUUUUACGGAAUGAAGGGGUAAGUUAAGGCAUACUAGUUAGAGUGAAAUGAAGGGGAAAGAAAAGAGGACAAUAAAGUUAUCUAAUGCCACAAUAAAAGAGAAACUCAAGUCAGAACUCUCCAUGACAAAUUGCCAUGGCUUAUAUAUUGCAAAAAUAAACAACAGAUCCAGGUCACCCAGCAGAAUAUUGAACUUACACGGUAGUGAACUUUAACUCUGUCACCUUUGUGAGCCGAGAUGCUGCACGAUUCUGGCUUGUACUGAAAAUUUUAACAUGGGCAUAAUAAUAAGAUAAGAGGCAUAAUAACUGAAUUCCGGAAAUGAAGAUAGCAAAUGGUGUUGCCUAUGCUCUAUUGCUUUCUUAUAAAAAAAGCAGGGCCAUACAGCCUUUUCUCUAAAUUUAUCUAUGCUCUAUUGCAGUUCAGCUUGAAAUCCAGUAUCCAUGUAACUACUGUUUGUUUCAUUAGUAGCAAUUAUUUUCUUUGAACUAUCUCGAUCCAUAACAACGUAUCUUUAAGAUCAGUACUGCACCAAAUUCUGGAUGAUGAUUUUCACAAGAAGGCUUUGUUAAUACUUAUAAGAUCAGUAUACUGCGCCAAAUUGUGGAUGAUGCUUCUCGGAACAUGGGUUUUGAAAUAUACUUUGAGGCAAUUCACUUCAGCUUGGUCCGCUAGCAUAUUCAGUUUUUGAAAAGCAGAAAUGUUUGCUCUACACGCUUACGGAUUCAGGUCACCGGUUGUGCCAAACCUUUGAUAUGUUAACAAGCUACUAAACUAAACCAAAAUGGUGAUCCGUCACCUCCAAGUCCACACUGUAAAUCUCGAGUUGUGUGAACAUCAGCCACACCAAGACAGUUCGUUUCUGAAAAUUGGAUCCCUCCAGAAUGUUAUCCGACGGGAUCUACUCUAACACAAUUCGCGCAUACUAGGCCUCAGAUCCGACGAAAUCCACGGUCGCACAGCAUCUAAUCUAUUUUCCUCAGGCUGAAUCGAUCCACCCGACGAGACGCGCAGUAGGAAGACACACAAUUUCGAACGCGCGCAGGCGGAAUCCAUUGAUGGCACCAGAGCCGAGAGCCCGAGGGGCGAGGGCACGUACCUUGACGCCGAUCUGGAGCGCCGAGACGUCGCCGGACUUCUUGGCGGAGGCUGCAGGGAAGGAGCCAGAUCGGAUCAGACAUCAGAGUGUGCCGCGUAGGGAUGGGGGCGCGCGGGGCGUGAUAUGGAUCGAGGGUACGGCGGGCGGGCGGGGUCGCUUACCGACGAGCAGGAGCGCGGUGGCGGCGACCAGCAGGAAGAGAAGAAGCCGCGGCUUCGCCAUGGAUGCAGCUGGGGUUUGUUCGGGGGAGAGAGGAGUAUUUUUUGCCGAACUCGUGAGGGGUUGCGUUUAUAGAGGAGCAGUGGCAGUGCCAACUACCAGUAGUAUCUGGGUUGGGUUGGACUUGACCAAACUGACUCGUAUUUUUCAUAUACAAAAAAUAAAAUAGAUAAAGUUUAUUUUGUUUUCAUUUAUUUUCAGAUCGUAAGUAGAUAUAGUUUAUUAAUGGCUAGCAUGCAAUUGAUAUUGUAUAAUAAUCUUACUCUGAUACUACAAUCGUCCAAUCCAAUGCAUUUCUUUUUUGCGAAUUAAUUCAAUGCAUUUGAUAUCCAAUCUAAACAGAUGUGUAAUAUAAAAAAAUCAAAAAGAAGGAUUACCCCUGAUAUUUGCAUGAAAUGAUGCACACAGCUAUUUUAUACAGUAUCUCUACUCCUAAUGGAGCAGUUGGUAGUCUCGCUUCCAGGUUUUUUUUCGUCCCACCUACCAUGGUUUUUUUUCAACCGGUUUUUUUCAUCACACCAUCCCCACCCCUACCCCACCCCAUUCACCGCACGCAGUUAGGUUCCGUUUCCCCCCUUACGUCCCCGAUUCAUGCAUGACAAUCAAUUCUUUCCAAACGCAAUCAUGCAUGAUAAUCAAUUCUUUUCAAACGCAAUCAAUUACUUAAGGUAACCAGACACAAUCAAUUCAAUAAAACGGAGCGAUAUCUCGGGCGAUUUUCUUGCUCCCGAUAUAUAAUGGUGCUAGCCAAUCUGUUAACAAAUGAGAAGGAAACAAUCACGUGUAUGUAGGGAAGAUAAUCGUGGAGAUUGCAGGGCAGUUAAGGCCGUGCGUCACAUGCAGGAAGGAUUUCCCGAGUUCAGCGAAAGAGAAGGAAAUCUGAGUUGGUGAAUAGUCUCCACGAUUUAUUUUCGUCUGGCUUUUUUCGUCUGGUUUUUCUUCGUCCCACCUCCCACCACCACCCUCUCACCGGUUUUCCUCUUUUCUCGUCUAACCGGCAACACCCAAUGUAUUUAUGGUAAUCAAUCACAAUUAAUCCACGUAUGGUAAGGCUAUAAACUCAGAAAUCUCAAAUAUGAUUAUUAUAGUAAUAAAUCAAUCCAGGUAUGAUAAGGUCAUAACUCAGGAAAUUCCGAAUAUGGUAAUUAUAUGGCAAUAAAUCAAUCCAGGUAUGGUAAGGCUAUAAAUAUAAAGGAAAACUAUUCCUGUGAGACGUCUAAUACAUGGCUUUCGUCAGACCAGCAUCUCACCAAUCGUUUUGGAGCCAUGCAUCCAACAACGCCUGGCUGUACUAUAUAACCCCUCCGAAUCAUCCUCACAUCCACCAUCAAACCCUAAUCAACUACCUCGCCACCCUCUCUGCCACACCUGCCAUCUGGAUCCUCCUCGCUUCAACCUCGCUCUUAUCGCACCACCGCAUCUACGUUCGACCAGCAAGUCCUCCGGCAAGAACGCACACACCAUGUCGCCUUGAUGGCUAAGCAUGUGCAUGUGUGCUUCAUGCCCCCACAACGCUCCUUGUGAUCCGUUCGUCGCGCUGCAUCCCCAAUCUGGCCGGUGUGGCACUGUAAUUUCGUCGGUGUGCAGACCUUCGUUUCCUCUGCUACUCCUCGUCAGACAUUUUGUAGUUGCUGCUUGAAGUGGUAUGGUCGUGCUCUGCUCGUUGAAGCCUGUAAUUGGGGCUGCAUGCUAUAGACUCAUGAGGUCCCUUUUCAAUGUGGCUGCGUGGUAGCGAUGCUCUCAUGCGUGCUACGUCGGCUGUGCUCCAGCGGUCUUGCAUUUGGCCGGGUUGAAGGAUACCAUAUGUGUAGUAGCCACACGUGAUUCAGAUUUUGUUCACAUUGGAAGUACAAGUGAUUGUUGUUGGAAACAAAUUUCCACCCUUUUGGAAGCAUAAUUUUCUUCGGUCAAAAUGUAUAUGUAGAAUUAUUGGUAUACUUUCUACCUGCAAUUCAAUUACCUAUCAAUGGUGUAUCCAACAUUGCUCUAUUUUUCUUCCUACACAUAAGAAAAAUGCUUCUGUAAUGUAUGAUGCAACUUCCACCAAAUCGAGAUGCUUCUACACCAUUGAACAGAGUUUCGGUUACCAUUUUUGUUUCGAAGCAUCAAAUGGUGAGCCAUGAAGCUUUAUUAAACAUGUAAGGAAGCAUGUGUCAUUUUGUGUUUUUCAUAUCAAAGCAUCAAUGAAAGGGCAAUGAAGCAACUAAAUGCCACAUGGAAGGAUCGCCACAUGGAAUUUGUUAACAGCUUAUGGUAAUAUUAUUAGUGGCAUCUGCAUAUUUUCAAUACGUAUUUGAGAACCUAUUUGAUGCUUCCUGAUUUCUAUCGCAUGAAAAAUGCUUCCUUUGAAACAACCGGGGAGCAAUUUGUUACCAGAGAUAAUGCUUCCAUUGAAACAACCGAGGAGCGAUUUGUUACUAGAAAUAAAACGUGAUUUAUAGGAUUUAUUAUAUCCUACUAGAAAUCAGGGAUCAGUUUCCUAAAAUGUUGGAUGCGUCAACAUUUGUAACUGUGCCCCUGAUUAAGGAACAUACUAAUGCCCAAGCCACGUUUACAAGCCCAUCACACGUAUCGACAUGAAAUCCAUCGUACAAGGAAUCAGAUUCCUAGCGCUUCCUCUUAAACAAACUUAAAUUACCCCAAAGGCCGGCCAGAUUAACAUACACAGAAAAAUCAACACCCUAUGAUCUGUCAUCCAAUUUUUCCUCCACGGUCGGCCAUCCUAUUCAAGGCCCCUGAUGCAAUGUUCUGCCAGCAAUCCAUGCGCACGUCCUACCUAGCGAUUGAACGGGAUCAAAAUCUCCCUAGCCAAACACCGGUUGCCGCUGCACUUACAUACUCCGCCCACGACGCCGUCCCACCAGCGGCGGUGACGCUAGCGAUCGUACCGAGACGUCAUGGGAGAUGGAGCUCCAGGCCAUCAAGGACUCCUACACUGGCGUGUCCAAGCCGCCUCCACGAUGGAGCCAAACCGCCGUACCUAUUCGGACUCAAGAACAUGGUGCGCCUCGCCGGUAUGGAUCAUCUCGCCUCCCACUUGCCAAGGUAUAGCAGCCCUCUUCUUUUCCCUUUCCCAAGAACACAUCGAUGCACUUUUAACCUCUAUAAUCCAUCUACCUGAUGUACUUGUGUGUCGCUCGCCGGGAAACAAACUACUUGGUGAAUCCCUGAUGCAAACAAUUUUAUUCAGUGCUAACUAGGAGCUAUUGUCUGCAUGUGCAUCAGGUAAUACAAGUAGUUGUACGGGGUUCAUAAAGGAAUCGAGCUUCUCAUCUUUGACGAUUAACGGAUGAGGCACGGGGUACACAUGACGGAUCUACGAACUACAGCUGACAACACAUGGACGGCCAAAGGAUGUUGCAUCCGCCGACCAACCACUACCCUUAAUCAAGCACAAGGUACCUAGAACAACUCCCAAACACUCAAUUCUUUGUAAGAUUUUCAGUAGAAGCCUGUUGCAAAGUCAGGAAUUUAGUUUAUUUAAUUAUUAGUCAAUGUUUGCCACAAAAAAAUUCAGAUUUUUUUUAUCAUUUUCUAAAUUUAACUAUUCAUGCUGAGAUCAUAUGAGGUCAAACUAAGAUGGGGGCUUUUGAACACUUUUUUCAUGAAUGCAAAUGACAUGCACAUACAGGUGAUGUUGUUCUGAACAUUUUGAUAUCUUAUUUGUAUUUGUUGGAGUUAGUAUGAAUUCGUUAUGAAAUUUUCAAAGUUUCGGUCAAACGGUGAAAGGGCAAAAGUAUAAGAGGAUGGAACAAGCUGGACAGAAACGAGGGUUUUUUGAAUUUUGGGGCAAAUCAAACAGGUGUGACACAACUAAGGGCUCAAAUGUAGUUGUCCCUAAAAAAUAUAUAUUAGACAAAAUUAAUGUUGAAUACUAGAAUAUAUAUGCCCGUUUAGCAAUGCACGGGCAACACACAACAAAGGUGAGGUGGGCGUCACCCGUUUCUAAAAGAAAGGGCUCCAGCUAGCGAGAAAUAUCCCGCUGCAGUCGGAAGCCGUGCGGGAAAGAUAGGGUCCGACAUAAAAAGGAGAAGGGUGUGUCAUGGGAUAGGUUUUUGUGUUCGGCCUGUGUAUUGGAGAUAUAUAGCAUGGCCCAUAGUCCGGACAAUCACAUUUCUCCCCACAUAUGAUCUGGAUUGGGGGAUCUCCGACUGUCUAGAUGGUUGAAUUUCGAGGAGCCUCAAACACGCCAUAAUGUAUGAGGGAGAAAUAAGCUUCGACCUUAGAGGUGACCUUAAUCAUUUGUUUGAUUCAUUUAUGUAUGCAUUAUAGCCCGUAGCAACGCACGGGCGUUCUACUAGUUAAAUAAAUAAAGUAGCAAAGUAGUACAAAAUUCAUCUCAGAUUCACAAGCAAGUUCAAAACAAAAGAAUAAAAUAUCAAUUUUGCUAAAGUAGAUCUAGAUGUGUUAUAAGUAUUGCAUGUCUAAGUCCUACGUCAUUGAUCUAUUGAUCUUACGUGAAGAUUCGUGUGAUUAUUUUCUUUUUCCUUUUUUUUUCCUUCUUAUGCUUGAUUGUGUUACUUAGAUGUGCAAUAACUAGGGCACAUCUAGAUGUAGACAAACCCAUAAAAAUAUAGCACCAUGCUCAAAUAUGUUGGAGCCAAGGCAACUUGGGCCAGAGAACCAAGGCAACUCGGGCUAGAAAGACGAGCUGAUGAACCUAGCCAGCGGCCGUGCAGGACCGAAGCCACAUCCAAAUGCAAAUGAGACCAAACAACAUACGUACCACAAAGUCAGGUGGCGAUACAUCGAUACAUCAAAAUCGCACUGAUCCAAAGCAUCUGAACAACGACAUAUUUCGGCAAUCAGGUGAGAUACCAGACCAUCUUAACUUCAGUGAUUAUCUACACGUACAUGACAGUAGUUCGGGUGGCAUAUGUUUGCAAGACAUAAGCUUAUCCAAUAUCCAGUCCUCACGCAAAUAUACUAAAAAGGGUGCCACGGAUUCAAACAAGAUGCGCAUGGCGUGUGUAGAAAGAAGAUCGUAGCUGAGGAAGAAUGAAUGGCAGCAUCAGUGCACGGAGUGGCAGCAGAUGAAGGGCAUCCACGGCUGCUUCCUCACUUUGGACCUCUUGUCGACGUUGUUGUUGUCGUGGGGCAUAUUCGCGGGGGAAUUCCAGUACUGGUCGUCCGAACCGGCUGCCCCUGGCUUCGCCGAUGAGGCGUCGUCCUUCGACGCUCCUCGCCGUGUGAAUGACAGGACCCGCUCCUUGGUGCUGGGUUUCUUCUCUUUGCCCUCCAGGCUCGCCUCAGCAAGGAGGACCUUCAAGGGGACGCUGAUCCUUGCUGAAUUCAGCCUCGAGCCGAUAGCGGCGAUCUCUCCAUUCUGCUUGUUUCCCUCCAGUCUGACUGUUCCUUCACCCUGCUUCUGCUCUUCAGCAUGAUCCCUGCUUUGCAUGGCGUUCGUCUCCUUUGCACUAGCUUCUGGAGCCGGCUUCUUUUCUUCGGCACUAUCUGUCUGUUGCACCUCAUCUGUCUCCUCUUCUUUGCUCGUCUCAUCGGUCUGCCUGUUAUCAACAUCAGCUGUAUUAAAUUCCCUGUCCAUCUCCUUUGCACUACCGUCUUCAGUCUGAUCUUUUUCAUGAAUAUUUUCUGUGCUUUGUACUGCAGUCACUUCAUUUGAACCAGUAUCCUCAGCCAGUUUAUCCUCUUCGACAUUAUCUGAGUGCAGUACUGCAGUCAUCUCCUUCACGCUAGCAUCUUGAGUCUGUUUCUUUUCUUCUGAGUCAUCUAUAUUCUCUACCAGAGGCUCAUCUUUUGCUUUGGUGUCUUCCGUGCCAGUCUUUUCUUCAACAUGUGUGCUGACUGCAUUGGUCUCCUGAGAGACAGGCAUUGUGCCAAAUUCUGUCGGAAAUACUUGAGAUCGUGCAUCGAUGAUGCCAUUUGUAUGCGAUUCACCUUCCUUCUUGUCAUGGUUCACCGAGGCAUCAUGCAAGAAAAUGUUCUUCAGAGGAUCUGCACUGCUACCGACCGACGCAUCUUCUGCAUCAACUGCAUAUUCAUUUUUACUUGACACAGCUACCAUGCGAUCAUCUGCCAGAAAUGUUCAGUAAGUUUCAGUGCAGAACAUCAUGUAAUCCAAACUUGUAAGAACUAACAUAGGGAAAGAAUUAGUACUACACUUAAGACUGCAAUAACAAGACUCAGUAAUUUUAACAUACGAAAAUAACAUGUUACUAAUCCUUCUGUUUGUAUUUAGACAACAGACUUGAAACAUCAUACACUAUUCAUCCCAGCUACGACCAUAUGAAAGUGUUCAAACACAUCCAUCAACCAAAACUAGACAAAACAACUGAGAUGAACUUCCUCCAUAGCUUACAUUUUUCUUUUACUGUUAUUACUAGGUGAUUUCCCCGCGCGUUGCAGCGGGAAUUUAAAGAUUAAUUCCAGAUGAAUUAUAUAUGAUGAAACUGAUCUAAAUCAAAAGCUGAUAUUUUUUUAAUACAGAAAUCUUUCAUACUUGCACUGUAUGUGAACAAAGAGUAUGCAUGUGGUUUGCAUGGGGCUACAAAAUAAUGUUAGUGGAUGCUUACAUGGCACACUUGGUCGCACACUUAGUGAGAUGGAGAGCCGCAUGUUGAGAGAAUUAGAGUUAAUGGGGAUUAACUAUUUAGGAAUAGCCCAAAAAUAGAAGAAUUGGUAGAACAAACCUGUUUCAAGAUUGGAACAACUUGUUGCCGAAAAACAUCCAGCAGGGAAACUUCGAACAAGCGACACUCAAGCUAGCCGAAGCUUAUUCAGGUUAUAAUUUCUAUUUACCGGUAUUUUUGGACUUCCGGGGUCGAAAUUACCGCCACGGUCCCUUUCAUUUACACGAACGAGAUCUAUUGAGAGGGCUGUUUCUCUUUGCAAGAGAGGAUGAUUACAGGUUGCUAUGUGGUUUGGAAGCUGGUACAAAUACGUCCAGUAAAGUUUUAUGUUCUGAACUGUCUGAAUUUCAGCAACAAACUGAGACAUUACUAGUACUACAACAGAAAUAAUAACCACCAACUUGUACAAAGCACACACAGGUUGAAAGUGAAAACCCAGAAUUCUCACCUGAGAUCGGACAGUGUUUCCCAUCAGCAACGCUGGUUUGGUUGGAAACUGUCUGAGAUGUAGAGUCAACUUCCUGCUCUGAUUCAAAAACAUUUGGUGCCUCCAAAUGGUAACCAGAAGCAAGCUCAAAUAAGUCAUCACUCCUGGUGUCAUCUAUAUUGAAUGGAUUCUUGGUAGAAGACACUUGAUCCAUUAGUAAUGUGACAUGCUCCUGACUUGUAGACACUUGAUAAUUUGUUGGAACCUCAGUGGCACUCUCUCUGUUGCAGAUUUCCUCUUGUUGUUCAGGCCUCGCCUCACAGGAAGAAUCCAACGCACUGCCCUUAACUAAAAUGCCUUUACUGCAGUUGUCUUCAGCAAUGGACUUGAGCAUGCCAUUCACAUUAGUAACAGCCAGAUCAUUCUGAUAACCAGGUACAGAGCAUACUGAAUUUACCAAGCAAGAGUUAUCAACUGGCAGCUGAAUACCUGAAGUACCUUGAGCAGACAAGUUCUGUGAAGAGCGCUCUGUGGAGUGAUCAGUCGAUGUAUUUUCAGUAUGAAUUAGCUUCACCUCGUCUCCAGAAUUAGAUACUGUUUCAGAUCCAAUAGGAUAUGAUUCUACAAUUUCUUCUCUUGGCGAUACUUCAGACAUGCAAUCCAGAACUUCCAUACCAUCUUUAAAGAAGCUGUCCACCUUCCUGGAACAUGCAGAUUGGGAUUCUGGGUCGGACAUAAGUGGAGAGCACUUCUGAAGAGAUGAGGAAUUCAAAUCACCAAUAAACUCACAACUGCCAGAUGUUUUAUCAGAUUUGCUGUCAACCACAACAUCUGUAUUGUUGCUGUCAAUUUCUGCUGAGCAGUCAUCUGUACUCUGGAGGUUUAAGCCAUCUUCACGCCCAACCAAUCCAGGAGUUAUAUUCCCUACAUAAUAUUCAGCUUCGUUUUCAACUUCAGAUCCAGCAGGAAAAUCAGCCAUGCUUGAUUCUCUUGAAAACUGAUAUUUGCAUGUGUCAUAUCUUUCAAGAGAGCCUUUAUCUAUAUUCUUGAUUUCCAUAGGAACAUCUGACUCACGUGCUAUUGCUGCACCAUCUUCCGGAUCUGAUUGAUGAAGAAAAGAAGAUGCAUCCUGGUACUCCUCAAGACAAUCUUCUCGUUCAGUUGGGUGUGCAACUGCAAGCGGUCCAAUUCCAGUGAAACUUUCAGACACUUUAUGUUGAAUUCCAUUGGUGCUAGGCCUUUCUGAAUCAGUUCCAUUGCCUUCAUCUGCAGUUUCAGAAGAAUUAUUGGGAAUCAGGCCGGUUUCAAUGUAGUCACUGGUGAUGGCUUGAGGUCUAGCAGCAUUAGUAGAAGCAUGUUCUGUAAAAACAGUGAAUCAAUAGGUCAGCACACACACGCUGAUAUAUGAAUAAAAAGGUAGAAUGAUUAAAUACAAUGGCAUGUGGGAAUAGCCAGAAACAACUGAAAAAAAGGGCAUGGCAGUAUUUCUACUUGGAAUAAACAUUGGUCAAAUUUCAAGGCAUGUUUAACACAACACAAUAAAUGAGUAUGAAAGAAUAAAGGAAAUUAGAUGGGCAGAAGAAAGAGGUAAGAUGGAUUGUUGUAGUUAGCAGGAAAGGCAAAAUCAAAGUCAUACUGACAAGUCUAACUAGAGAGUAACACAGUCAAGACAACUAAAGAUAAUUGGUAGUGCAAAAUGUAGCUGAUGUUUGCAAACUUGAACAAACAGUAAAAAUAAAACAGACGCUACAAUUGGAUGUUGUCUCCUAGGACCUACAGUUGUUAGUAAUUUUUUAGUGGCGAUGGUAUCCGGCAAUGAUAUGCAAUGAUGGACAAAGGGCACUGAAUCCACAACUACACCUGAGAUAAAAGUUAGAAUACGAAUGCAAUGCCUCUCUUGCAGCUAAGUUUGUAAAGCAGUCAGAAGCAACUAACUGCAAAAACAUGCCUGAAACGACAUUGCUUUUUUUAAGAUGAAAUGACAUUGUUAAUAUAGGGGACAAAGCUAAAAAAUGGGCUUUCAAAUAAAUAAAUGGGCAAGCCUGAAAAAACACCUAACAGUAGCUGAAUGUACCGUUGCAGAACCAAAAUUAUUAGAAACUUAACAGCAUGGUGACUUCAGAACUGACAGGUACUAAUACAUGACAACAAGGACACAGGUGACAACAAGUACGUAUUAAUAAAUUAUGGCAACAAAUGUCAACACCGAAAUAUGAGAUCUUCCAAAGUAGAUAUAAUUAACAACAUGUGUGUACACAAGGAUACGUUCAAAACUUUGGGAGAUAGGCACAUAACUAACGAGACUAAAAUAUUUCGCACACCCAACAGAACAAAACGCACAUGUGACUAGGACAGCAUGUGGUGGAAGACCACUACGAGCAAGCUAAGCAAAGGGAAACCAAUGUAGAAACGACAUGUUCCAAGAUAUCCUACCCAACAGCACGACUAACCAACGUCAGAUAUGUUGGAUUUCGAGGACAAAAUCCGGAUAACCAAGACACAAACAAAUCAUUUCGCCCAUUCCCGACUGUCAGACUCGAGAAAGAAUCCAAUGCAUCAACGCACAGACUAUUCUUAUUUGCUGACAGCCACCAACUUGCCAUAAGACACGGAACGAUGAUUAAUCUAGGUAAGAGAAGGUGGAACCGUGUACUUGCGCCUCAGCGAUUAGCGCGCCGGAAUCCACUAAUUUAUUCAAGGCCGAAGAUAGGUAACUCGAGCAAAGUUCAGAUCUACAGUUCAAAUUGCUCCACAUCGUACUUGUCACCCAAAAUAAAUAUUGCCCGAAGGCCCAAACCCAAGAGGAACAGCAAAGUGCCUGCGCUUUCAGCUUUAAUGCUAAACCAUGAAAUGAAUCAAUCGGAUUAUUAUUGCAGGCCCCCACGGAAGUACUACUAUUUCCACUAUUAACUCUUCAACGGGAGGGACUGAGGAAAAAGGCAACCAAUCAUUUUGCCUUUUGCAAACUCUAGAAAGGGAGAAGCAAAACAACAAAAGGAACAACAUCAAUAUUGCGCAUAACAUAAGCAAGCUAUGCAAUUAACAGAAGAAGUUAUGCAAAUUAGUUAUGCGUUUACACGAAUCAGCAGUGUGAUAGUGGACAAAUUGAAAUGGCCGGGUAAGCACUAAGCAGAUUGACCAGUAGAGAGGAGCAGAGAGCACGCACCUGCGUUCUCCUUGUCCUCCGCCGAUUCGACGCCUCCGUUCGCAGAUCCGGGCGACGCAGAGCCUCCGCUCGCCGCGCCAUUGCCGGGCUCCUCCCCGUCUCCUGGUCCUCCCGCAGCACCUGCAGCGCACACGCGGCGCAUCAAAACCGGCGAGCCCAAAACCACGACCAAACCCCAAGCAGAACAAAACAAAAUCAAAGCACCGCCGCGUCGCACGGCACGGGCCCGUACUGACGGUACGUACCAAGCACGAGGCGGCCCUCGCCCGCAUUGCGCGGCCCGGCGUCCUCCUCCUCGGCGGCCGGCGUGACCUUGCGGCAGGAAUUCCUGCGGUGGGAGCGGCGGAGCUUGGCGCUGGGGUUGGGGUUGGGGUACUGGUGCCCGCACACGUGGCAGAGGUGGCCCCCGCUCAGCGCCUCCCUCCCGCGCCUCGCCGCCUCGUCGCCCUCCAUGGCCGCCUCGCCCGCCCGUCCGCUCGCUCGCUCGCUCGGCCGGCGGCAAUGGCGGAGUCGUCGACGGCGACAAGCCCGGGGACGAUGUGCAGAUGGGAACGGACUCAACGGACCCUUGCUUCCUUUUUAGAGAGGACGAGACGAGACAAACGGCGGGGGUUUGGGUGGAGUUAAAAGGCUUUGGGCGGCACGGGCGGGGGCUUAGCCAGGCCGGGCCGGAGGCUGACGGGCGGGGCCGGUGGAGAGUGGGGCCGGGACGUCGGCGAGGGGGGUGGCCCGUGCGGUGGCGCCAUCAAUGCGGGCCAUGUGCGCGGUGGACUCGGCGGGCGGGCUGGGUUUCGUUUCUAGGGCAGGGGUGGAGGGAAAAAGGAAAGGGCCGGGGUCGGGGUGGGCGAGCGUGCGGGGCGAGCGUGGGCGUGGCGCGGGAUCCAGCCGUUGGGUGUAAGAUGGACGGCUGAGAUGAUGGGGAGCGGGCGACGGGGAGGGAGGCCGUGCGUGCCGCUGGUGGAAUGGCGCGUGUGGGGGCGGAAAGCGAUGCGGGCUGCCUUUUUCCCUCGUUCUUUUUUUUUCCCUCGUUCUUUUUGUUCGCUGGGUAAAGGGUCGCUGCUGUGCUUUGCACGGUUACCCAUGGAUGGGGCUUGGAUUGCCUUGAUUAGACUAGCCAAAGUGGAACAUACACUAGUACCAUACACAUAUCCCUAGACUAUAUUACUAUCUUCAGACUAGCCACAAUGGAUAGUAACAUACACAUAUCCCUAGACUAUAUUACUACCUUCAUAGUGGGUAGUAACUUAAAAAUGGUAACAUGCAAAGAUUCAUUUAUUAGGUUAUAGACUCAUAUUGCAUUGGGACAUGUGAUGUUACAGUAACUAGCUAAGUUACUACUACUACCUCUCUCCUCAUUAACUCAUUGACACAUAAGCAAAUUUGCUGAGUUGGACUCGAUGUUACUGCUGAAGUUACUCCCACUGUGGCUAGUCUCAUAGUGGGUAGUAACAUAAGUGUGGUAACAUGCAAAGCUUUAUUUAUUAGGUUAUAGACUCAUAUUGCAUUGGGACAUGUGAUGUUACAGUAACUAACUAAGAGGGUGCUUGGAUACGUUUUAGUCCCAUGACUAAAAGUAGUGGGACUAAAUUUGCUAGCCUCAUCCAUGCUUGGAUCCAAAUACUAAAGAGACUAAAAUCAAGUUAAUGAGCAUUUAUUAUCCUCCAAACCCUCCAAUCCAGAACUCGCAUGUGUUAAAGGAGAGGAGUUAAAUGAGGAGAGAGAGGACUAAUUCAUACUUUAGUAGGGGUACCCUUGACUAAAAAUUUUUAGUCUCAAGACUAGUUUUAGCCUCUCUUUAGUCAGGGUUGCUUGAAACUUUAGCUUCUUAAAAAGACUAUUUUUAGUCAGACUAAAAUAAGUUCCUUGGAUCCAAGCACCCUCUAAGUUACUGCAACUAUCUCUUUCCUCAUUAACUCAUUGCCACACAAGCAAAUUUAAUGAGUUGGACUCGAUAUUAUUGCUGAAGUUACUUCCAUUGUGGCUAGUCUAAGCACAGUUGGUCCGGUACACCGAGCUACCAGUAGAGUGUAGGAGACUGUGUCUAGUGGGUCAUUUGAGUUUUUAUGGAUAGAUGUGCUCGCGUAUUUUUGAUAACGUUUAUUCUCAUGUGAAAACAUGCACUUAUGAAUAACCUCAGUUGAUGACGUAUUAUCAGUGUAUAUGCGGACUUUCUCCAUCCUGGUAUUUUGUGUUUUGGAUCAAACUUUUACCAUGAAUUAAACUGGUAAAAAUAUUACCAUUGAACCUUCUUUCGAAUAUGGACCUACGAUUCAACUUUUGUAGCAUAAACGUACAUUUUGCUAGUCAGUUCUAUGAUCAAAAAUCCUGACUGUACAACUAUGGCGCUAUACAGCUAUGUUUUUUCGCAUAAAAUUCGUGCGUUGAAUGUUUGAAAUCCCUGGAACCAAAAAUAGUUAUCCGGCGCAAAUUCUACCACGGUCACAGGCUACAGAACACGGAGGACAGACACGUGGCCCCUCUCGUCGACCCACGCACGCAUGCGGGACCGACGGACCAUCUCUUCCCCGUGAUCUCGAAUCUCGCCCCCUGCCCACUGGCACUGGGCCAUCAUGAACUAGUUCAUGGCAUUCUCCCUUUUCCUCCUUAUCUUUCCAGAGGAAAACGGAUCUGAUAUAUGCUCAGCUCCAUCAUGGGCGUGCUGUGCUAGCUACACGUACGUACGCGGCUGUGCCUGCGUGCUCGUGCCGCACUGCACGUACGGCUGUUCGCGCUGGAAAAGGCAAGUGCCCAUUUCAACCUAGCUCAUCUCGUCAUUAUCCUCCCAUAAACAAACGAUAAUUACCGAACGUGAGAUACGGGCACAUGACAACUUCAAACGUUUUCGACACAAACUUUAGUAACGGAAGAAUAGUAAGUUAGUUGACAAGCACGUCAAUUUUAUGUCAAAAAUAAACCGAAGCACGAAAGUUGUCAUCGUCGCGUCGCUGUCAAAAAUGUUCGGAGUCAUUAUGUGUUCAUACCAAAUGUUCAACACUUAUCAAAUUCCAAAAACGAAAAGCUCAUCUCAUCAUCGUCCCCGCUCGGAUCGCUGGGUAGCCACAAGGUGGGCUGCAUAGGCCCAAUUUUGGAAUAUCGAAUAUGAGUGUGGUCAUGUCCGCCAUCGUCUAUACUCUUUAGGUGUGAUGACAGGACCGUUAAAGGUCCUUUUUUUGUGAGGUAAUAAGGAGUUAACGUGACUAAUAAAGCAGAGGAAAAGGUGGCGAGCGAGAAGGAUUCCCUUGGAGGAUGAGGAUGAUUUCUCAUCUAGUUUAUUGUCUAUUUUUNNNNNNNNNNNNNNNNNNNNNNNNNNNNNNNNNNNNNNNNNNNNNNNNNNNNNNNNNNNNNNNNNNNNNNNNNNNNNNNNNNNNNNNNNNNNNNNNNNNNNNNNNNNNNNNNNNNNNNNNNNNNNNNNNNNNNNNNNNNNNNNNNNNNNNNNNNNNNNNNNNNNNNNNNNNNNNNNNNNNNNNNNNNNNNNNNNNNNNNNNNNNNNNNNNNNNNNNNNNNNNNNNNNNNNNNNNNNNNNNNNNNNNNNNNNNNNNNNNNNNNNNNNNNNNNNUAGUUUAUAAUCCAGGCCGAUUUACUUUCUUGUACAUCAACACAAACGUUUUGAGUUCAAAACCAGAUUCAUGGCAUGUUCAUUAUUGGCAUAUCUAUGGGGAGUGCUGGCAGAUGAUAUGGAAGGAGCGACGUGCCAACUGACACCACACCACACCAGGAAUGUUGGUAUCCGUCUACUAUUCUACUGACCUUAAUUUACUUGUAAGUAACCUACCAUGCGGUUUCGUGUAGUAUGGAUAAUGUAGAUGACAGGUACUGUAGUGGUUAAAGACUUGAAGCUAAGCUUGCACUAGCAUGCAUGCAGUUGAAGUGGACGUGGUUGUCCAUGCCACUGACCUCCACUCCACAUGCCAAACUCGUACAUUAUCUAGCUUGGCUAGCUAGCUAGCUAGAGAGACUUGAUCUGCACAUGAACCCCUCAUCAUGCACCGCACACCAUCUCACCCUAUCAUUUCCCCGAUCCCUACGUCUCGAGCCGUUUCUGGCAUGUCGUUUUCUCAUUCUGAGAGUGGUGUAUGGACGCUUUGGAGCACUUUAGUUCGAAGUUUUUUUUUAAAAUCCAAAAAUGAUUUGUCCAUUUCUUGCGGGUCAAUUUUACAAUGGUCACAAUCAGAUCGGAUAGCUAACAAUGUUGACCGAUAUACAAUUUUUUUAAUCGUUUUUUUAGAAAAGGAGAAUGACCCCCGGCCUCUGCAUCUGAGAGAUGCAUACGGCCACUUUAUUGAUUAUUCUCGAGGACCUUACAAAGUAUUACAAAGAAUAUACCUGAAUCCACCAUCUUGGCAACAUAUGCCAUUACUCCUAUCCAUAUGAUGAAGAGGUGCUAGCUGGGCCACUACCCCAAACCACUCAUCUAAGCCUAACAUCAAAAGCCGGAAUCCCCAGCCGAGCCACAUACCAAGUUUGGGGCACAAUCCGGUCAGACGCACUCGUGUGUCGUCGCCGCCAUCUUUCACGGGUCUGUCUUCAGAUUAUAUUGAGGCUUCUACCUUGUCUGGCCACUCUGCCAUCGACGCCCCCAUGACGCCAGACAGCUUCCUCCUCCUGCACGAGUCCAUCUCCGCGCAUCAGACGCCGAGUCUCCACAGCACCAUGCCGCCGAGAUCCGCCACCAUCAAUGUGUAAGAUGAAGCACCGCUCCACCAAAGUCGCCGUCCUCUAGUCCCUCGAGUCUGUGUGCACCUCCAAGAAUGACGCCCCCAGGGGGGAAACGACAGCAGAGAGCCGCCGUCAUCCGAUCUACUGAUUUAGGGUUUCCCCCGAAGGUAGCAGAGAGUAGCCUUGAACAUCUCCAUGGCGAUGCCUUCAGGAAGGGAACGACGCAGACAGCGUCGCCAUCGCCGGCCUUGGCAAUAGUCAAUAGCAGGUUUUCACCCAGAUCUGAUCGAAGACCUCCAUCUCUCGUGCACGGGUCGCCGCCGUCCUUGCCGGGAUCUGGAUGAUCCCGCUUGCCAGAUCUCCACCGAGACCCGCCGGCCGAGCAGGGGAGGCCGAGGCCGCGCCCACAGGUCAGAUCCGCGAUGGAUCCAAGCCCGCGCCGCCNNNNNNNNNNNUCACCCAGAUCUGAUCGAAGACCUCCAUCUCUCGUGCACGGGUCGCCGCCAUCCUUGCCGGGAUCUGGAUGAUCCCGCUUGCCAGAUCUCAGCACGGAGAAGCCCCCACCGAGACCCGCCGGCCGAGCAGGGGAGGCCGAGGCCGCGCCCACAGGUCAGAUCCGCGAUGGAUCCAAGCCCGCGCCGCCGCCCCGGAAUCAGCCCCGUGCGCAGCCGCCACCGCCUGCCGAGGCUCGCCGCCGCGUGCCCCGCCACCGCUCGCCGAGGCCUGCCGCCGCAGGAUACCGUCGCCUGCCGCCUAGAUCCGCCGCCCAUGGAAAAAGGGGAGUCGGGAGAGGGAGUCCCGCCGCCGCCGCCGUCUGCCACGCGGGUUUCACCCGGCGGCGGCGCGAGGAGGGGAGAAGGAGAGGGCGGCGGCGGUGCCUAGGGUUGGAGGCCCCCGAGUCGCCCAGGGCCUUCCUCUAAAAGAUUUGAAUAUCGACCUUCUAAAAACUACUAUUCCAAUUGAUAGUACGGCUAAUGGUCAAGUCAUUUUGUAUUUAUUCAUACGGAUCCAAUGAAAACUGGCGGUAGUGGUUGCUCCAAGGUAGACUCCUAAUAUUUUUCUUGACUUGACCAAGUACGAACGAAGCUCCAUUCAUUUCAAACUUGUUUUUAGUACAGAGUAGUAUAUAGUACGUAUGAGGCUAUGAGCUUGCACAUGCACCCACGUGUGCCCUUCUGACGUAACCAAGGAUGGUUUAGGGCAUNNNNNNNNNNCACCGCCUGCCGAGGCUCGCCCCCGCGUGCCCCGCGCCCCGCCACCGCUCGCCGAGGCCUGCCGCCGCAGGACACCGCCGCCUGCCGCCUAGAUCCGCCGCCCACGAAAGAAGGUUAGUCGGGAGAGGGAGUCCCACCGCCGCCGCCGUCUGCCACGCGGGUUUCACCCGGUGGCGUCACCCGGCGGCGGCGUGAGGGGAGAAGGAGAGGGCGGCGGCGGUGCCUAGGGUUGGAGGCCCCCGAGUCGCCCAGGGCAGGGGCGACGCGAGGGACGCGAUGGACACGCCGAUGACAAUUUUUUUAAUCGUCUUAGCCGUUUUAUUUCACAAGAGAAUAGUCCUACAAAUCAAGUAUAGUUUAUUUCCAUAAAUUGCAUGUGCACAAUGUAAACAUGUCCCGCAAGAAGCUAUAACCGUACCUUAGUUUGCGUGACCAACCCUUCCUUUUCUUUAACCGUAGCCGUCACCCCUCAAUAUCCUAGCCGUUUUCAUCUAUAAAAUCAUCGCUCCCCCACAUCCUAUAGUCUCUACGACGUUGUGAGGUUGGAGGAGGCUGAAUAUUUUCCUUGUGUUUUUAGUGUGUCGUGGUUCGUUGUGCCCGCUAUAAUACAUCGGCUUGCGUAAUAAUUGUCCUUCUCCUUAGGGUAUGUGUUUCACGUUAACCCGUGGUUUCAAAUCGCAAGGUCUGGUCAACCAUGGCAUGACGUUCCUUAGCUCUUCUGGACUCGACGGGUAUGUGACAUGCAUCCUGGUUUUCUGGAGUGAUGACAGCAUGUCUUCUCCUUGUCAAAGCUCGGACGAUGCUACGACGAAUGUGCAAAGACUUUCUUCUUCUUCUUCUUCUGAUUGUACCUCAUACGGUGGGCUUCUUUCGUGGUGAGGACUUUGUGUUCUGCUUCGGCUCGAGCGGGAAUUCAAGAGUUUUGAUUUGAUGAAGUAAUUGGUAUGUUUGAUCGUGGACAGAGGUGCGUGGAAACUUGCUAUCCAUGUGCCAGAACCAUGAAUUGGUUGCAAGAUUUUAUGGGUUUCACCUUUAACCUAUCCCAACUUAUUUGAGACUAGACGCUUUGUUGUUGUUGUUGUAUUGGUGUCGUAGUUUUACCUCUACCUCUAACAUCACUUUUUUUUUCUUUCAAAAAGGAGGAUAACCCUGGCCUCUGCAUCGGCCGAUGCAUGCAACCUGUUUUAACAUCACUUGGCCUCCAUGAUUCAAUUUUCCUAGCUCCGACACCACCUACAGGUUUCCUUGUUGAAAAUGAAGAAGGGGAAGCUAUGAUCGGAACAACCACAGUGAAGAGUUUCCUACCCUUGCCUCUGCUCAUAAGCUCAUUAUACCGGCCACCACUUGGCAGAGGAAUCUCAUAUGCGUAACAUGCACGUCAAGCAAAGGGACCGUCUUGUUUUCCCCUAAACUCCUGUCAUGAUAAUCUCACCAUCAGUUAGCACUCAGCGGUCAUGGGUAAUAUCUCUCUCUUUCUUGUUUGUACUACUCCCGUCUCAUAACAUAAGAGCGUUUUUGACACUACACGGAGUAUGUGCGCGUGCAAUUCUUUUUUCCCAUCCGGCGCAAUGAGACAAACUUUGUACUACUAGUGAGGAUCGAAGGCAAAAUUGACAGAUUUGAUCUAUAGACGAAAUCAAAUCACAGAAUAAACUGCCCGUGAAACCAUUUCACGUGGCUGACCUUUUUGUGUGACGCCGGACACAAAGACGCCACACCACACUGUGCAACGCCUCACAGAUAGGUGCUACACGCCUGGCCAGCGUCGCACUCGUGUGAUCCGGAAUUUGCUAAGUCAGUGUGCAGCGCCUGAAUACAGUGUGGCGCCUAGCUUCUAGGCGUUGCAUUAGUGGUUACUUCAUUUUAUAGUGCAACCAUUAAUGCAGCGCCUGAAAGUUAGGCGCCACACUAUACAGUGCAGCGCCUAUCUCUUAGGCUCUGCACAAUGACUUAACAAUUUUUAGACAGUCUGGGGUGCAACGCUGGCCAGACGGGCAAAAUUGAUAAAUUUGACCUUAAAACGAAAGUAUUUCAUAAACUAAACUGUUUUAGAAAAUAUUUCACACUGCUGUCCUUUUGUGCAGCGCCCGACAACAAGGCGCUGCACUCUACUGUGCAACUCCUUACAGCUAGGCGCUGCACAGUGUAGUGCAACUCCUUAGAGCUAGGCGCUGCAUAAAAUAGUUUCGACCUGAGGUCAGAUUUGUGCCUUUUACCGGCCAGACGUGUAUCUUAUGUGAUUUGAUUCCGUCCACAGAUCAAAUUGAUCAAAUUUCCCAGGAUCGAACACGUACGAGUGCUUGCCAAGUACUACUACAGAGCACAGACCCGAGUAGCGAGAGGCCACAUGCAGUCGACAUGGAUGGGCAGAGAUUGGACGCAUAAUGGUCAGUGGGCAGGCACAGCUAUAGCAAUUGUGACGAGGAAAGGUUCAGUGAUGGAAACGAGCGAGAGGUACGUCGUGGCUUCGCGCAAUUGUGCACAAGGGCGCAGAGUGAAAUAGGCAAGCGAACGUUGCAUUCUAGUAGUUGGUGGAGUAUGGGACAGACAAGAGACAAAAGAGACAAAAGGAUAAGAUUGUUGGUGCCAAGUGACAUGAUUAGCAAGAGGCAGUAAUAAAUAAGAUGAGAGCGACUAUCAUUUCAUCUGUCAACAUAUGACGUACAGUGCAUGCAUGUGAUAUUGAAACAACAAAAGGACAGCGGCCUAACCACAACGACAAACGGUGAAACGGACGGUCAGCUAUCGCUGUUACAUCAGAAGGUUUGAGAACAUGAGUAGGAUCAUCAUAAUACACCACCCUGGCCGUCCUCGCUCCAUGUCCUUCCGUCCUUGCGUGAAUCAAUCAGCCCGAUGAGCUGCUGAACUCGCAGGAUCCGUGCCCUGGAAAAGGGCAGAGUUAACCAGUUAACAACCACUUUCCCGCAAAACAAACAGCUAACAACAACCAAAGGCUGAAAAAGAAAAGCAAAGCAGUUGCAUGUGGAGAUCAGAGGGAGAACACGGUCAGUUCCUUGAGCUAGCAGAGACCUGAAACCGCCAGUAAAGCUCCUCGUAAGUGGUAGUGCAAUAAUUAAGUUCUCGAGAAUCGUCAUUGGUAUACAUACAUUUGUAGUAAGAUAUAAUAAGUGGUUUGUAGCUUGCAGAUUAUGGUUUCUUACUUAUAUUUAGUAGUAAUUGAAAGGUCUUUUAUGCUUUUCAGACCAAAGUCACACUCUGCAACAUCAUCUUUUACCAAGUUAAGCUAAAGUGACAAGCUAAACGAACUCAAGGAAAGAAGCACGCACAAGCAGGAGUGCGUGGAUGGAUGGGUUUCAGCUCUGAAAGGAAACUACUCCUACUACGCAUAUAUGCAGACGUCUCACCUGCAGCGGUCGACACUCAGCGCCCAUCAUCCUCUUCUGCUUAUGAAUAACAUGCUAAUGGACUAAAGCAAGGGUUUCAGGAACCAAACCAGCCCAGCAGAUGGAAUUCAGACAUAAGCGUAUGAGGUGUUCUGCAUAUACUAACCCUGAUGCUUCUAAAUACGCCCUAACAAGUAACACCUAAGGCCAUGGCUGUGCAGAAAUGAUGUCAAAUAUGUCCAGACGAAUCGGCACUGCCGAUUCAGACAACGAUGACCGCAUCUGCAAGCUAAUGCUGAUGGCAGAUGGGCAAUGCAGAUGCAGAGGAUCCAAAGGCAAUGUGAAAUGCGCGGUUGGACUUUGACUAGGUCAACGAACGGAGGACCCAAGUGCACCUGGGCUUAGGACAACUCCACCGUGCGACCCUAUCCUGUUCGCCCCCGUCCGUUUGGGUAAGACGGACGAAUAGCGCGGCCCAGCGCACGGCCUCACACGGACAAAUGUCCGGAUUCCGUUCGUUUUCGGCUCAUCCCCGGCCCAAACUUGCGCUCGGUUUGGGGUGAAACGGACGCGCGCGGACGGCCUGGACGCACGCCCUUGUCCCCCCCUCCCCCCGUGGCCCGCCUGUCGGGGGCACUAGCAGUCCUUCCGCUCCAACGCUUCCACCCUCUCUCUCUCUCGCCCCGCCCCGCCGCCGGCGCCGCCGCUAUUCUCCGUCCGCCUCCUCACCGCGCAGCCUCCGACCGUCCCUACCAAACCACUUCUCGACAUGGCCGCCACCACGCCCGUGCUGUGGCCGUAGUUUUGGCCGUCGAUCGGAGGUUUGGCCGUCGCCGUCUUUGCCGGCCGCAGAGGGGACAGGACCACCGGCGACGCACCACGGCGUCCUCGACAGCUUCCGACGAGAGCUCCACAGCGGCCAGUAGCCGGCCGGCAACCACCCCUGCUGCGUCGAGGUGAUCAUCGCGGCCUCUUCGCCACCACGCCCGCAAGGUGUUCAACAUUUUGCCCACAAAGGUAUGGACAGUGGAGACGAGUUUUUCUUCCAUCACUUCCUUUGUUCAUCGGACGAUUCGUCGUCGGAUGAUGAAGAUAUUGUGGUGGCUGCACUGGUCGUUCACGACCACAUUCAACGGCAGCUUCCUCGUACAGGAGGUCACUCCCUGGCCGUGCUCCCAACCUGAACCGCAACAGGGAGAGAGGCCACGCCCUGGUCUAUGCUGAUUACUUUGCCAACACUCCUCUCUUCAAGCCGGAUAAAUUUCGUUGCCGUUUUCGAAUGGCUAGGCAUGUGUUCAAUCGUAUCCGAGAGGGAGUGGUUGCUCAUGACCCAUACUUCGAGUGCAAGACGGAUGCCCUUGGCAAGCUUGGAUUCUCCUCUUACCAGAAAUGCACCGCGACCAUCCGCAUGCUUGCAUAUGGAAUUCUAGGCGAUCUGGUGGAUGAGUAUGUGCGUAUGAGUGAGACAACAUGUCUGAUGUCAAUGUACAAGUUUUGCCAGGCUGUGAUCGAGGUGUUUGGCCCAGAGUACUUGAGGCAGCCAACUGCCGCUGAUACAGAGAGAUUGUUGGCGACCAACGCAACUAGAGGCUUUCCAGGCAUGCUUGGCAGCAUAGAUUGUAUGCACUGGGAGUGAAAGAACUGUCCAUUUGCUUGGCAGGGCUAGUACAAAGGACAUGUCAAGGCGUGCACUGUCAUAUUAGAAGCGGUGGCAUCACAGGAUCUUUGAAUAUGGCAUUCUUUCUUCGGCAUGGCAGGUUCUCACAAUGAUAUCAACGUGCUGCAGCGUUCUCCAGUCUUCGCGAGGCUUGCAGAAGACCACUCCUCACCUGUCAACUUUGAGAUCAACGGCCACCAUUACAACAAGGGAUACUAUCUAGCAGAUGGUAUAUAUCCUCAGUGGUCAACUUUUGUGAAGACAAUCUCGAAACCCCAAGGUGAGAAGAGAAAGAGAUUUGCCCAAAUGCAAGAGAGUGUUAGAAAGGAUGUGGAACGUGCUUUUGGUGUGCUUCAAUCCCGGUGGGGUAUCGUUUGAAACCCUGCACUGUCAUGGGAUGAAAGGAAGCUUUGGGAGGUGAUGACUGCUGGUGUGAUCAUGCACAACAUGAUCGCCGAGGACGAGCGUGAUGAGAGUAUCUUCGACCAAGGAUUUGACUAUCAAGGUGAAAAUAUUGAGCCCCUGCACCAAGACUAGGGCACAUUUGAACAGUUUGCCCAAUUCCACCGUGAGAUGCGUGAUUGGCACACUCAUUGAAUCUUCAAAAUGACUUGGUUGAGCACGUGUGGGAUCACAUUGGCAACCAAUAGAUGUAUUGGUCCAUUUUAUGUUUAGUCAAGACAAUUUCGGUUUGGUUGUAAAACUAUUUUAUUAAAGACAAUUUCAAUUGGGUUGUAAAACUAUUUUAAUUUUCAGACAAAUAUUUGGGUUGGAAACUAGUUUUGAUGAAAAUUUGAGCAUUUUUGGCCUGACUGACAGGAUGAGGCAAAAGGAUGCGUCCGCUCGCUGGGCGCGCGGCCACUGCAUCUCAGUACACGCCCGGACACGACCUCAAAUCCCUAUCCAAACGGUCAGAAUCCGGACAAAACGGACGUCUAUUUGGAGUCGCGUGGUGGAGUUGACCUUAGCAUUUAAAAGCAAUGGGGAGACGACGGCCAGCUCUACUAUGCCUAUCUGAAUGGAUCUUUCCGAACAAGGACGGCAGCUGCAACCUGAUCAUGUCAGCACGAUUUCUGUCAGCGAGCCAUCAACGCUGCGGCAGGCCAAAGUCUGCAUAGUACCAACUCUUUGCCAAAUGGAUAGAAAAAUGCUUUCUACCGCAUGGCAUUAUGCUAAUGUGGAGUUGGAGAUGAUAGCUUCAACAGGCACAUACUCCCUUCGUUCUAAAUUAUUCGUCGUGGUUUUAGUUUAAAUUGGAACCGAGGGAGUAGCUGUUAAGCUAAGAAUUGGUGUACACUGUAAGGAACCAUCCUAUCCUAGUCAGUAAAAUGAAAUCAUGCUACGUGUUCCUAACUGCAUUCAGAAAAGGGGAGUCCAUGGUGCUCUAAACCGAACACACCAGUUUCACGUGUUCAUCUCAUCAAUUAGAUGAAGUUGUCAAGAAACGACCUUCUAGUUAUGCUUAUGACAAUAUCUAAGACAGUCCAGAUCCAACUGUGCUGGGUCAACAAUAUGUCAGCUGAUUAUAUUUUGGCAACAACAGAUCUCAUGCACAAGUAUUUUGUGCGUAUCAAUAUCUGGAUUGAUCUCCAAGCUGGGGGUCAACUCUCUUGGCAGAAUAAUUACUUGUUUUGUUGCCCGUUAUAACCCUCAUGUAUCGUUAACAGAAUAGAUUAACCACGGGAUCAAUCAGCUAUGGCAAUUGUGACGAGGAAAGGACCAGUGCAGUGAUGGAAACGAGUGAGAGGUACGUCGUGGCUUCGUGCAGCUGUGCACAAGGGCAGAGAGUGAAGUAGAAAAGUGAACGAACGUUGCAUUCCAGUAGUAGGUAUGGUAUGGGACAGACAAAAGGGACAAAAGGAUAGGAUUGUUCGUGCCAAGUGACAGGAUUAGCGAGAGCCAGUGAUAAAUAAGAUCAGAGUGGCUAUCAUUUCAACUGUCAAUCGAUGACGUACAGUACAUGAAUGAUUUUGAAACAAGAAAAUGACAGCGGCCUAACCACAACGAAAAACGGUCAAACGGACGGUCAGCUAUCACUGUUACAUCGCAAGGUUUGGGAACAUCAGUAGGAUCAUAAUACACCACCCUCGCCGUCCUCCUCCUUGUGUGAAUCAAUCAGCCCUGUGAACUGCUGAACUUGCAGGAUCCGUGGCCUGAAAAAGGCAGAAUUAACCAGUUAACAACAAUCAAAGAUAACACAAUCAAAGCAGUUGCAUGUCGACAUUAGAGGGGAACACAGUCAGUUGCUUCAGCUAGUAGAAACCGCUUAUAUGGUCAUCAUAUAUAGUAGCUUCCAGUAAAGCUUGUCACAAGUGGUGUGGUAAUGUAAUAAUUAAGUCCUGAAGAAUCAUUGGUAUGUUAGCAUUAGUAAGAUAUAAUUACGUGGUUUGCAGCUGGAGAUUCUGUUUUCUUCUUCAAGUAAUAAUGGAAAGGCCUUUCAUGCUUUUCAGACCAGAUUAACACUCUGCAUCAUCAUCUUUUACCAAGUUUAAGCUAAAGCGACA